rnacentral:lncRNA from 1 species
UAAAAAAGGAAACCUUGAGGUACCCUCCAAACUUUUUAGUUCAAACAAAUGAACUACUCCCUCUGACCCAUAUUACUUGUCUAAAUUUAUCCAAAUAUAGAUGUAUUUAUGUUUAAAAAUCGUCUAGAUACAUGUAAUAUUUCAACAAGUAAUAUGGGUCGGGGGAGUAGUUUUUCAAGAUGUGAUGCGAUUUUAAAAUUUUAGUCCAUUUGUUUAACCAAAAUAUAUGAAAAAUCCGGGGAGUUUGACGCCAGUUCUUAUUGACUUGCGAUGGGCUGAAAUGCAACUCAAAUAUUCAUGGGCCGAAGUAUAAACAGGUUAAACAACAAAUCAUAUAUAUCCACCACUUGAGAGGCCGGCUGCUAAAACAUCUCCAAAUGGGGAUCACCAUAUGGUGAAUGCUUUGGGCCAGGCCAGUAAUGAGGGUGUGAAAUGCCCGUCCAGCCCAACAAACGCAUGGUAUAUACUUUGGGCCUGCUGGCAAGAAUAAAGGAAGCCAGAAGAGAGAUGUGCGUUUCGCUAAAAAAACCCAAGAGAGAUAUGCGUUCUUUCUUCUCCUCGAUCCCCCGACCCCUUUCCUUUUUCUUUUCUCUCGAGACAACACAUGUCACUUCUCAAACAAAGGUCAAAUAUGUGUAGUACUUCCUCUGUCUCAAAAUAAAUGACGUGAAUUUGUAUAGAUUCUUAUGCAAAUCCAUGUCACUUAUUUCAGGAUAGAGUGAGUAUCAUGUAUCUACAUUGUUUUCACUCUUCCAUUCACAAGGCUGGUUGAAAGUGGUAUAUCUUGCAUCAGAACAAGAUAUUCAUGUGCUAGCAAGAAAGCACUAGCAUCCUCUCUUCGUUUUCUCUUGUGUUUUGCUAAAAUUCGUUUUCUCUAUUCACUACUAAUCCGUUAAUAAAUAUAAUAAGUUCUACCUUUGUCCCUAAGUCAAACCUUUUCAAGUUGAGGAUUUUUACGGUACCUUGGUACUCCAUAAGUAUGGGUAGGAGUGCCAAGCAAAUCUGGCCGUCCAUAGGUGAGGGUAACUUAGACAUUUUACGCACGGUACUCCGAACUUCUCGUAUCUCCUUCCUGUCCAGCGAACGAGUGGCCGACGCCCCAAUCAAUCGUGCCACCGGCCACCGCCGGAAUCAAUCACGGACUCUCCUGGAUCCCCCACCGAUUGCAUGGUCGCAUCUGCUGUCAGGCUGUCCUCAAGCCGUCGCCGCCCUUUCCUCUCACCCUCCCGCUCCUUCGUAUUCUCAUUUUGCAUAGCGCGUGACGCCGGCGCCUACUCCCGAUCGACCGCAUGCCUCCAGUCCAGCAUGGUCGAGGCCCCUAGGGCGCUCCAUGGAGGAAGAAAUUCAUAGCAUCACAGAUAAGAUCGGGUCAGUUGUUGAUUUAUGCUGACGCUGAUUCUGUGGUUGCUGUCCACAACAGGAUUUAGAACCUUAAUCUGGUUAGAUCUCAAUAAUCCGAUAAUGGCUUUGUGCAAUUCAGUUUGAACUUCAUGUGCUCCUCGUGUCCUCCGCGGGCGCGACAUAUCCGGCGACUCCAGCGACAUGUACGGCAUUGAGUUCGUCCCGGCUGCUCGGGAUUAACUCCUAGAUAUUGGUGGCCGCACGGCAGUGGAUCCCUGGCUGCCAUAUCUUGUGACUCAAUUGAGAAUUUUAGGGUUUGUCGAACAGGGAUCUAUGUCUCUGCAUUUUCUUCAAUCGUUUUGUGUUUUCUGUACGAGGAACAAUUAUUAACUGCUGAGAAAAAAAGAAGCAAGUGCUAUGAUUACGCUUUUGUCCCUCUUGUUUAGGCACUCCGUGAUUUUUUUAGACGGUACUCCCCCGUGCUUGUGAUGGAGUACCAAAUAAAAUUAGCCAUUGGAUUGAGGCAAAUGGAUGGUUCAGGGUACCUUAUGGAUCAUGCCUUCUUAUUACUUGGACCGUACGUGCACUGGGUAGAUCGAUAUAUGCAAACCAUGUACAUAUAAUAUGUUUACAGAUAGAUGAUUGAAAUGUUUUUUCAACAGCAGUCUACUCUACUCUGUGCAGGCAGUCACAUAUCUAUUCAUUCCAUGGGAAUUGGCGCCACCACCAAAUGUGCAUACGUACGUCCUACACAAUCUAUGAGAUACCUUAAAGAAUGUACGCGUUCCAUCGUCUCGGAAUUGCAUGAUGUGCAUGCAUGGGUUCAAUCACAAGCAUAGCACAGGAGAGAGAUAGAGAGUGUGUGAGUGUGAGUGCAUGUGCAUUGGUUUGCUUUAUUCUCCCAAAGGGGGAUACACACACAGAGCUGGUCUGCCAAGCUGCCUGAGAGAGGGAUGGCCUAGGCCUUCGAGAAAGCAAAGCUAGCCAAAGCCAAAGCCAAAGCAAAUGCAUGCACAAGAAAGCCAAAGCAUCUAGCAGCAGCUGGGAGAAUCUGAUUCCUUCCGAGAGAGUAACAUGCAAAAAGAUCAAAAUCCACAUCCAAGGAUUCUAGAUCUUGCUACCUCUUGCUUGGACUAUUCCAAUAAGCUCGCAUUACUGAUCCCCUCUCUCUCUCUCUGGCUAGCUUUCGUCAUAAUCCUCUUUCUCGUCAUGGUCUACAUUCUUUCGUACGCUUCUUUCGCUUUUCGAGUACCAGUGUUGAUGCAGGCAGCAGCAGCUUGUGCUUUUGGGGCGCACCGUUUCUCGUCCAUGGCUCUCCAGUAGAUCCUAGCUAUAGCUAGCGGCAGGCAAAGCAUCUGUCUUCUCUUGAUCUCAGUGCUACCUCCAAUCGAUCUCAGACUUCUAUGUAACCGAUAUCUAUCCAUGGAUAAAAUCUUCAUCGCCUCAUGCAUGCAUGACAUAUGUAUAUAUAUAGAGGUUUUUCCAUCGGAAACUCUUUUCUACCGGCUCCGCGAUGUAGCGGAGCCAUCAGAACCCAUGUGUUGCAUGCGACCAACCACACGCUGGCACGUGGCAUUAUGCACCAUAUACAAUUAAAUAUAUCAUAUAUCAUUGACUGACACCAUGUACAAACACCACAUAUAUAUUGACUGAUACCGUAUGUCAUUGACCGGUAUCAUGUACCAAUAUCAUAUACCAUUUACCCAUAACAAAAUAUAAUAAAAAGAUGGGCCGGGCCAACACCACGUGUCUCCUUCUGUUGGCACAGCUACGUAGCGGUGCCGGUAGAAUCGCUGCUUACGUUCUUCCAUCCAUAAUUGCAAAUGCAUGCAGAAGCUGGGGAAACAUCCUCCUUUUCGAAAAGAGAAAUUGCAAAUAUAUCUGGCUAGCACCUAAAGUUCUUCUCAUGAAUAAUAUAGAUGCAUGCAUCCAUGCAACUGAAACUAGCUAGCUAGCUAGCCAAAUGCUAUACUCCCUCCGGUCCAUAAAAAUUGUCCCUCACUUUUGGAGGGAGUACCAUAUAAGAGAAUCGAUCGGUCGAGGUAGCGUAGUGCUACUACAAUUUAAUUGCAUACUGGCUAAGUGGCCUGUGCGUUGCAACAGUCUUCACAACGGUUUUUUUAGAGCAUGUGAAUUGAUGUCUUAAAGGUUCGCUGCUGAUUUUGGGCUAGCAUAUAUAUAUAUAUACUCCCUCCGAUCCAUAUAAUAAGUGUCGCUGAUUUAGUACAACUUUGUUCUAAAUCAACGGCACUUAUUAUGGAUCGGAUGGAGUAUAUAACAGCUAUAUAUAUAUAUUUAUAAUCUCCUUACCUUCGUACGUUCUGUCACAAUGUGAAAAGAGAGGGGGAGAAAGGGAAAGGUAGAAACUAAAGAACCGACCCUUACUAUUGAGUGCAUGCAGGACCUCUCUUUGACUAGGUGCCUUUAAUUUGCAGCCGUACGUGAUCAACAUUGACUGCAAUGAGAGAUUAACAUAUACUCCAUAUAGUACUACACAGUACACACAGAUCAUCGAUCCAUGCAUCGCUGGGUAUUGCAUGUUAAUUUAUUUGUUAGAGCCAUGCAUGCACGCAACACAUAUAUGCAUCGCAUUUCAAUUUUAUUUUUCUUUGUGCUUACACGUGUUAAUUAACUCCUAGCAGGCUGAUCCGGUGAUCAAGGGAACUAAGUAGCAUCCUAACUGCUAAAUCAAUUUAAUUUCACACCGGUUAUUAUUAAGAUCAAUGCCAAAGCUCUACAUGCAUGUAUGUAUUAACAAUUUUGAACUUUAACCGUGACAGAUGAUUCUGCGAACGAUUUGUCAUAAGGCGUCGUCAAACAUUUUGACAUUUCUGCACAAUUGAAUGGAAACUACUAUACGUAGAGAGAGUUCAUAAUUGAUUAUCUAAAAAAGAAAGUUUAGAUCGAUCAGUUGACAUAUAAUAAAAGGAGUUCUUCAUAAACAAAAUGAACAUCACUAGUACUAGUAAACCAAGUACACACAUAAUUAACUUCACCCCGAAAUGCAUGCGCGAGAAAACCUAGAAGAAGAAGAAAACACAUAGCAAGUGAUCGAUCAUGCCAGCUAAACUAGCUAAUUGACACUAAUAAUUGUGCAUGAUCAUAUCAAACAAGCUAGCACACACACAACACCAUCCAUCCAUGCAUCCUUGCUUCCACACCUUUCCUCCAUGCAUGCAUGGGGCAUGCAUCCACACCAUGAGCAAACUAACGAACUACCAAUGCAAAGCUUUUGAUCUAUAUCUCACAUAACACCCCUCCAUCGAUCUAAAAGGCAGUUAAGAUCAAGUUAGCUUAUGCAUUACAAGAGAUGGUUACCUCUGGCGGCAGUAUUGGAGUUAUACGAACUUGUGUAGCCUGCAUUGAGCUGGUGGUGGUGAUCACCAUUACCAUACAUACUGAUGAUGUUGCUGCCGCCCCUUGUAAACCCGUCUUCCCUCUUUGAAGACGGCAUCGUCGUUGCAGAAGCAUGAUGGAACUGGUUGUCUUCUUCUCCGACCACCUCGCCGUUGCCAUUGCCGCCGUGGUCUAGGCCUAGGUAAUGGAACAUCCCCGGCGCUGCUGGAGCCAGAUGAUUGUCGGCUGCCGCCAUUGCGUGGAAGAACGGGAAGCCCGCCGGGAUCUGCUGCACCGAUCUCCACUGCUCCAUGGCGCCACCGCCGCCGCCCAAUGAGUAGCAUCCUGCAGGUACGUCUACGGAGCCGGAGGAGGUCAGCGGCGGCGGCUUCCCCAUCCCGCCGGCGCCGGAGACGAAGGUCGAGCCGAGGCUCAUGGCGUCGAAGUCGGCCAGCCGAAGCAGCGGCGGCAGCAGGCCAGAGGGCAGCUGCUGGUGGUUCCCAGUCGGGAGCAUCGCGGGCGGCGCGCUCGUCGGUGCCGUCGCCGGAGCCGAGGAAGACGAAGUGGCGGGCUGCUGCUUCGGCUGCUUGGCGCGCUUGGCGUGGCGGCGGUACCCGCCGCCGACGGGGACGUUGCGGAGGGCGCCGCCGCGGGUCCAGUAGCGGCGGCAGGCGCGGCAGAAGUGGCGGGGCUGGGAGAGGGAGUAGUUGUUGAAGUAGCAGAACUUGGUGUUGGCCGAGUCGCAGCGCGGGCACUUGAGCCCUUGCUCCGGCAGCGGCACGCGCGCCAGCCGCGCCCGCUCCGACAUCGACAUCGGCUUCCCCGCCAUGGCCGCCGCCUGUGCCUGCUGUGCUCCUCCAUGGCCGCCGCCUUCUGCAAGCUGCUGCUGCUGCUGCUGCAUCUGCAUGAUGGACGGCUGCAGGAGCUGCUCAUGGCAGCUGCCGUCUGUUGCACUGGCUGAUCCUGCGACGACGACCUGCUGCUGCUGGUGAUGAGGAUGGCGCUGGAAAUUGUUAUUGAUCUGGCCGGAGAUCGAUCAGGAUUCAGGAGGAAGAAGAAUUAAUCAAGAACUGAACUGAUCAAAGGGAAAAAAAAUUAAAGCUGAAAUUUUAUGGCUAGCUAGCUAUAAAAUGGAAAUUUGUGCAUGCCAAUUAAGUUGUACUAGUGGUCCAGUAUAUACCAAGACCAAGAUUAUACACACACACAUAGUGUGUGAAUUGGAUCAGAAUAAUUUAUCCAAAGUAUUAAUACUCUUCUAAGAACUUUCUCUUUUUUCUGCUUUUAUUUUUGCUUGUGCAAAAGAGAAAGAGUAGUGAACAAAAUCUUCGGAAAAGAAAAGGGGAAGCUUUGGAGAGGAACCAAUGAAAUUGAAUAGAUUACCUGGUUAUUAUCAUUCCAGCUUGAGGAAUCCAGGAAGGAAGCAGGGGGGAAGAUCAUGGUGGGGGGAGAUGUUAUCCGGAGAAAGUGAGUCUUCUUCAGUCUUGUAUGCUGGCUUGCAAGGCAGACUAAGCUAGCUAGGGUUUGGCAAGCUCUCUUGUCUUCUCCUUUCCCUUGUGUAAGCUAGCAAGAGCUUCUGCUGCCUCUUGUGUGGCUAAAGGUUGUGCUUGAUAGAGGCUUGGUAGUGGGAGACGAGAGAGCUAGCUAAGCCUCCUCCUCAUGGUCCUCAUGGGAUUUGGAAAAAAUUAUAUGGGGAAUCAGCUGAGAAAGAGGAAGAGGAAAAAGGAAAAGGAGGGAUGAGAGAGUGAGACAGGAUUAGUGAGGGGUGAGGUGGGAUGAGGGAGAAAAAGCAGCGAAAAAGUAGCCUUGUACCUUCUAUGUGGCCCUGUUUAAUUUGUGAUAUACUGUGGCUUUUUUCUUCUAGCUCUCUGGUGCUGCUGCUGCUUGUGUGUGUGUGUGUGUGGAGCGACAGCCGGCCCCACCGGUUUUUGUGUUAAUUAAUAAGGGGAUCACAAGAACCAAGGAAUAAUCCUCGUGAGUAGCUAGUCAAGUUUUUUAAUAUUCAGUUUAGCCAACAGAAGCGUGUGAUUUUCUCUUGUACAAAGGGAAUUAAAUUAUCCAUGAAUGCACAUCAAUCGGUAUUUCAGAUGCCCCAAUUAGAAAGAGUUUUUUACGCUAUGAAUGCUGGACAGGUUUCAGAUCUCGAUCGAGGCUUAUGAUCGAUCGAGCUGCUUGAGUUUCGUUCAUUUUUUGGAUUGGAUUCGGAAAGGAUCGGAAUUCCAAAAUUAAGAUUCUGGAACUCAAAUGCAAACAACAUCAAUAUGUGACAGUUCUGUACGUAUAUGCGUUACAAGCCAUUUUUCUAGACUUGUAAUUUGCUCUAGCUACCUACUCCACUGUUCAUGACAAAAGAUGAAUGAUCCAAGCUUUGACAAAUUUAUUGUCCUCUCCUACUUUCCCAUUGUGUUAUACUAUAUGAAACAUUGAGUAUGUUUGUAGCCAAGAAAAUAGCAAGCGUUAAUGGAAAGAUAGAAGCAAAAGCGCUCGCGAUUGCUGAUCGAACUAUAUUGUGUUGAACUUAUUUUACAAUCUAUUAUAAAGAAAAUGCCAAAGAACGAAAAUUUGAGUUAGACAAAAAAAUAAAAUAGGCAAAAGUUUGACCAAUUAAGUUUAUAGAAAUAUACUACCUACAUCUACAAUUCUAAAUUAAUUUUAUUUAAUUAUAUAUAUAUAUAUAUAUUAGUACAUUUUUCAUAAACUUAAUAAAAAUAAGAAAUUUGAAUUAGGGCAAAACUAGAAUAUCUUAUCAAUUGGAAUGAGGGAAUAGUAUAUACGUGUCAACCCCACAUGACAAGUACUUGGGAUGCUAGUUUUGGACUAUUCUAAGUGUUCCAUCACCUUAAGAAUUAACCGCGUCGCGCGAAGCAAGGACAAAAGCGUGUACUUGUCCACCAAGAGGCUGGUCACUGAGAAUGUUUUUAGCUAAUUGGGAGUGUGCUGAUUCGAGCAGCUGCAAACAGGAAUAAUCAAAGUAUUUUCCUGUGCAAAUAAAGUGAAAAAAAUGCAUGGAGAUGAUUGCUUGGAAAAUAAAUAAAGGCAAUGCAUCGAUGAGCCAUAGUGAGUUUAGAGCAGUAGUCAUGGUCAAUCAGAUUGCGGCCAUAGUCUGGUCCCUAAAAGGAAAAAAGAAAUUAAAGCAGCUAAGCAUAGCACUGCCUCUAUUAUGCAUGUGCGUCUGAUGGAUCUGUCGUUUCUUGUCACAUCCUUUAGCAGUGCAGCUAACUAGCUUCCCUGCUAAGCCUCUGCUUCAGCAACAAUUAGUAUCUUGGUUAUCUUAAUCAAAGUCGCUGCAAAUUAAGUGCAAGUAGGACCAUUGCUGAGGCAGUUACAGGCUUGCCCAUAUCACCAAGUUAUAAUCAUUAAAAUAUUUGCUGGGCACAAUCGAUCGACUUAAAGUUUCUUUUAGUCGAUCGAAUUAAUAUAUGGUCAAUCAUCUCAGAAGCCAGAUUCGUUAUGAUAUUACAGAGGGAAAAAGCUGAGAGUGGAUUUCCCGCACACGGUGGCGACCGCACUUGAAAUCCCGUCCAUCGGAGAUUUAUGCCAGGAAAACCAAGAAACGCGGUAUACAUCGCAAAUAGAGAGCUGGUAGUAUCGGAGAGCAGUGAAAGCACUCUUGCAGAAGGGACUGGUCGGCAGGCCAUUCAGUAAGUACUGCGCGUGGGGCCCUGUAUUUAGUGGGAAAUUUAUGGCCGCUCGGUUAUUACCUACCGCGAAGCCCCUCAUGAGUCCUGUGCCACAAUCCCCUCAGUCCAUACGCCGGUGGAGGAGGAGAGGGGUUCGGCUACGGGGCGAGCAGCCAUGGAGGAAAUCGGCGUCGAUGUGUACAGGUACGGCCUUCGCGAUGCCGUUUCAGUAACGCCCCCUGGUUUCAGAUCACCGAUUCCUAAUGUAUCUGUACCUUUCGAAUCCCGUAGUCGAGCACGAGAUCUGGGGAUCGAUUUGGCAAACAUGAGCUAUCUCGCGCAACUCAGUUCGUUCGCCUUGGACGAAGAAGGUGCCCGAGACUCCAGGGGAGGGGCCGUCCAGUCGGACACUCGGUCCGUUGAUUCAAGCACGGCGGCGAUGGCGGUGGAAGGGAGCAACGACCUAUCGGGCGAACAAGAUUUCAUCGAGCAUGGAGUCGUGGAAAGCGCAACGCGGACGGACAGGCCAGAAACUGAUUCAGACGAGCCCCCACCUGCGUGGAAAAAAAGGUAAGGAACAAAUUUGCUGCGACGCUGAGUAAAUUGCAAACUGCACAUUCUUUCUGAUGGGAUUGCAACUUGUUAUGCUCUCCCCGCUACGAACACGAUGCCAGGCCCCGGAUUGGAGUGCUGCCAGAUUCGAAGGAACGUACGGUGGUGAGGAUUUCAGCUCUGGAAGAAUCGUUGACGAGAUAUGCAGAGAAGAAAUCCGACGUAGUUUGUCGAUCCAGUGGUCAGGACAAAGUUCGACUCGCUCGCGGAAGCCUAUGAUUUCUAUAAUUUGUUCUCCUGGGAGGUUGGGUUCGGGAUAAGGUACGGAAAGAGCAGGAGAAAUGUGAAGGGAUCAAAAUGUAUGCAGGAAAUCGUCUGUGGCUGUGCGGUAAGUGUUCGUGGAUUUGAAGCUUCUGUUGAUGAUGAUUAUGAGCCACCUUUAUCUAACCAGUUCAUCGCACUCCUACAGGGUCGGCCAAAGCCUAACACAAGGUCGUCCAUGUCAAUGUGCCCCGCUCUCAUAAGAUUACUCCGCAGCAAUGACGGGAUGACGGGACCUGGUAUGUAUCGGAGAACAGGCAAGAGCAUAACCAUGGUUUGUCAGGAACGUGCGGUGAGAAAUUGCAUUGGCCAUCUCAUAGGCACAUUGACAAGUACAGUAAGGACGCGGUGAAACAACUUAGGGAGAACAACGUUCCUCUCGGCAAGGUGUACAGCAUCAUAGGUUCCAUGUUUGGGAGGAUGGAGAAUGUACCUUUCACGAAGAGGUCGCUGCGCACGCUGUGCGGCAAAAUGGGGAGAGAACAAGCAGAUCAUGAUGUCCAGAAAACCAUUGCAGAAUUCGCUAGGCUAAAAACAACUGAUCCGGACUUCGACUACACUGUCGAGGUGGAUGAAGACAGUCGUGUGAAGACAUUAAUUUGGAGUAGCGGCCGCAGCUGGCAUCAGUACCAUCAUUUUGGUGAUGUGGUUACUUUUGACACGACAUACAAAACAAAUCUCUAUGACAUGCCUUUCAGGCUGUUUGUGGGUGUCAACAAUCAUUUCCAAAGUAUAAUCUUUGGAGGGGUUCUCAUGCGUGAAGAGAAGAUAGAAAGUUUCGUAUGGGUUUUCCGGGAAUUCGUCCGGAUGAUGGGCGGGAAGCAUCCUGAGACCAUCCUCACUGGUAAGCCUGUGUCGAUGUGAUUCAUGUGCCCCUAGAAAUAUAUUAACGCCAUGCUAAUGUCGGGUGCAUCUAUUUUUCUUACUAGACCAAGCGAGAGCUAUGGAGGUGGCUAUCCGGCAGGUGUUCCAGACACGACACAACGAUGGUGCAAGUGGCACGUCCUAAGGAAGGCUAAGGAGCAGCUAGGGCCUUAUUACACGAAGCAGAGCUACUUCAGGGCUGCUUUCCAUAAAGUGGUGAAUGAAAUGCUGACGGUCGAUGAAUUCAAACGGGCAUGGCACCUACUACUCAGGCAAUACAACCUAGAGAACCACCCGUACCUCAUUCAGGUGUAUGAAUGCCGGUCCAAGUGGGCUAAACCAUUCUUCAGUGGAAAAUUUUGUGCUAGGCAGACCAGCACACAAAGGAGUGAGAGUGCAAAUCAUAUGUUGAAGGUUUACGUGCCUCCUAGAUCCCCGAUGCAUGUUUUCGUGAUGCAGUACGGGAAGCUCUAGCACGCCCGAGAGUCUGAAGAGAGUUUCCAAGAAAGGCGUACCAAGUUGGUAAGUAUGUACACAAGAUAAACUGUUAAAUUAUAGAAAAUUUUAACUACUUCUGUGUGAUAAUGACCCUACUAACACCCAGGGUGGAGUUGUCCUAAGGAUGAACUUGCCGAUCGAGAAACAUGCUAGCAGGGUGUACACACGUGCGAUGUUCGAGGUUUUUGGAAAAAUCCUGUAUGAGUCUGGUUCAUAUACGAAGUGACAGAGCUACUACCCAACAAGUUAUACCAAGCACGACAUGUCCAUGGUGAGCCACGUGAGAAAUGGUACCGCAUCGACUAUCAGGUCAGGGUGGAUGACAAGGGUAAUUCGUACAACUGUGAGUGUGGUCUAUUGGAGCACAUGGGGAUGCUGUGCUGCCAUGCACUGAAGGCUUGGUUCUGGAUGUAAGAACGGUUCUAUCACAUGAGUUAACAUGGAUGCGACAAAAUGGCUUCUGGUAGGAACAAUAAAUCUAUAUAAAAUACUUCAACUCAUGGGGAUGCUGUGCUGCCAUGCACUGAAAGUUUGGUUCUGGAUGUAAGAACGGUUCUAUCACAUGAGUUAACAUGGAUGCGACAAAAUGGCUUCUGGUAGGAACAAUAAAUCUAUAUAAAAUACUUCAACUUGUGAAUAGAACUUAAAAAUUACACAUAUGAAUGUCCAUGGCUUUUAUCCAAUAUGAAGUGAAAGGAAAAUAAUACUUGUAUAUUUAACAUUUUUCUCCAAUUAUUAUUCUCCAUUCUCUUUAUCCAAUUUAACAUCAUACGUGCAUUUCUCUACUUCCCCCACUCUUUAACAUUUUUCUCCAAUUAUUCGCCAUUCUCUUUAUCCAAUAUUAACAUCAUACAUGCAUUUCUCUACUUCCCCCACUCUACUAUUCUUUUGGUUUUAUGCUGGCAUGAUUUCUUCUUUCUUUAAUGUGGGCAGCAGCGUCGUUAUCCUUGGAGCAUAUAGAACUCCAGAUGGGCCCGGCCCACCUAUUCGAGAACUCAGCAAUCAUGAUGUGGGUCCAUGAAUUGGAUGGGCUGAGUCCGGCCCACGGAACACAUGCUACACCUGACUAGCCAACAUCCUGCCCCCGUCCCAUGCCCCAUGCUCAUGGGUCAACUUGUCACACUGCUUAAAGAUGCAUAAUUGAAUCAACAGAGAGAUAUUCGCAAUGAUACAUCUUUCUCUUUGCUUACAUUCAAAUUGAUCUUCUUCACAAUUUCAUGCACCAACAAACCCACUAUGCGCAACCGAAAGAUGGUGCAAAUUCUAUGGGUCGGUCGUACUCAACACUCCCACUCACGUCGAGACCCCCAAGAAGUUUCCGAGCUGUGAUCUGCACGUGCCGAAGCGACACGACACCAAUCAAUCAUGUACUGUUUCCAGCCUAGUGUUAAAAAGACUAAGCUUCUAGACCUCCUGCUGCAAGGACAAAUAGCAUGUCCUAACCACAGAUUAGACCACGUUGCAGUUCCGGUACAGUUUUGGCAGGUUGCUGUCCGGUGGCUUGUCACUUAUCAGACACUGCAGAGAGGAGCUUGUUAGACCUACCAUUACAGUAAACCACACCUGAAGCCUUGAGAGUAUGCAUCAAUCUGUAACAUGUGCUCCUGCUGCCAUAAAACACAACCAAGCAGACAUACAAAGCCAUCGUCAUCAAUCGACACAUCUCAUUGAAACAUUGAGCUUGGUGACCUAGAAACAAAUUAGGUACAGAAUUACAUCCAAGAAAAGGACAGAAUAGGCCUCUAUUUCUAGCAGCAAGGCAAGUACACAGCCUAGAAGACACUUAUUUUGAUCCCAAGAAAGAUCUCCAUGGCAACAAUAUACAGUUCAGUGAUCACCCCCCCUAGUAGUAGAUCAGGGACCAACUUAUGCUGCAUUAUUUGGGAAAUGAAGCAAAUCACAGCUGUCUGUUCUACCCAAGCGCACAGCCAUUAACUCUGAUCCACUACAUACAAACCAUAAGGUGCUGAGUGCUAAUGAAAAAUCCGAAACUGAAAUAAACUCAUGAUGGCGGCGGAGGAGGUGGCGACGUUGAUGAUUUUGUUGGCUCACUGCCUGGCUGGUGACCUUUACCAGCAACCUUCUCAUCCAGGACAUCCUUCAGCCCUUCCUGAUAGGUCUCCACAUAGUUCUUCACCGCACUCGUGUAGGUCGAGGCGCGGGUCAUGUAUAUGCGCCGCAGCGCAGGCUUCAGGGUUUCAGCCCCACCCCUCGCCGCCACCGCGAGGUCCUCAAGCACAGUAGGCUCACUUGUAGUUUUCCCUUCCUCGGACUUGCUGGAGCUGGACUCCUCUUUGACCUUCUUGUAGUCGUUCGGUCUGAGCUCAGGGCCGAUGUCCCUGACCCAGGAAGCCGCAUAGAGCCUGGUAGCCUCUUUGAGAAUACACCACUUUUCGUUCAACGUGAGCUUAGGGCGCGGCUUGUAACCCGGAGGGUCUGGCAGAGAAGACGGGAACGCGAUCUCUCUAAGAUCAUACCUCACGUAAUCAUAUAACUUCCUGCAGACAACUCUGAACUUCAUUUCGAUGCUACCACGACAACCUCUUUCUGUGGUUCGAUGAUGGACGAAUUAACCUGGUUCAUGGUAAAAACGAAGCAUGUCAACCCUUUCAUAUUAUAUACUCCCACGUUUUGGAUCCCAAAUUCCCAGCACAAGAUAUAGAGCAGCUACAAAGUUACGAAUUCUAAGACUGGAUUCAACCUUAGAGUGACGCAAAAACCAAACAUUGCAUUUCAUCGAACAGCUUGCCUACAUCUCAGAGGCAUUUAAGCAAACACAUUGCAUCCCAGGGGAUGAGGCUUGACUUACAGCUUUGCGGGAUGGGUUGAGCGCUGCCGUCGAGGAAGAGGCGGAGCGACGCAGCCGGCCGUGGUUAGCGCCGUCGAGGGAGAGAGCGGACCGGUGAGAGCUCCGUCGAGGGAGAGACAGAGCGGCGGAGCAGCCGCCUGGGCUUAGCUCUGCCGUCGAGGAAGGAGUGGAGCGACGCAGCCCACAGGGGUUAGCACUGACGUGGAGGAAGGGAGGAAGCGCAGCCGCAGCCGGCCGGGGUGAGCGCCGACGAGGGAGAGAGCCGACCGCCGGUGUGGCGGCUAGGGUCCCUCCUAGAGAGGGGCAAACACACACACACACACACACACAAACGCCCACAGCCCACAGGCCUCUUCAGCCGCCGUUGCUUGCUGGGCCAUGAAUCGCGGCCCAAAGUUGGGAGCUUCGCUUUUGUUUUCUGCCCUAUUUGAUUUCUUUCUUCCCCUCAAUUUUUUUUUUAUUUCUUUCUUUCUUCGCUUUCUUUUUUACCAAAUGUUUCUGCCGUAUAUUUGUUUUCUUUUUUCCUUGUACCAAAUGUUUUCUGCCUUUUUUUCUUUCUCUGACAUCUGUACGCAUCUCUGCCUUUUUCCUCGAAAAAUAAAAGAAAGAUAACCUUUCAAAACAUUGCACUUAAUUCUAAACCAAACGUAGCAUUGAAAAUUAAUAGGAGUAUACGUUUUUUUCCUAUGGCAAGAUAUUUAGAAUAACACUUUAAAUAUUCCCACGGCCACAUUUCAUCGAACUGCUUCCCUUCAUCUCGGGGGGCAUUUGAACAAACAGCUUCCAUUCACACACGAAACGAGACGCCGGUGCAGUCAUAUAGCAGCAAAGGCGUACGUUAAAUUUCCUCAAAAUUUUAAUUCCACAAGCAAACAAACAUGGACAAGGAAACUUGGUCUUUAUUGGCUGCGAGUUUUUUGGACGCAUACGUGCAUAUCAAACUUCCACAAAAUAUGCACGUGCAGCGAGCCACUGUCACGACACACUGACACAACAAAACAAGCUGCUAGCUGUAGACAGAACACAACACAACACACAAGCACACACCCAGUCCACCCAUUACGGAUCAUGGACGACCAUGGCGUACUCGCCGGCAUGCUCCGCAGAGUCAUCCCCCUGGCGGCCGCCGUCGCCGGGGAAGAAGAACGGAUACGUCUCAUACCGCGCCAUACAGCUGCUAUAGAUCACCCGGCACCCACGCCGGUACCGGCAGUAAUUCGGCAGCUCGGCCACGGCCUGCGCCACACACAGCCCGCAGUCCGCCGGCGUGAUGUCCCUCGUGCACCACCCCAGCCCAUACAAGAUCAUGCUACUUCCAAGCUUCGCCGUCUCCCUGGCCAGCCCCUGCUGCUUGCUCCGGUCAACGUCCCCGGCCUCGGCGGCGACACGGGCCAUGAGCUUGCUCUGCGCCCUGUCGAACGCGCCGAGGUCGACGCCGCUCGCGUUCUGGGUGUUGAGGAGGAUGAGCGUGUAGCCCGUGUCCGGGAGGCCGAUGAAGUUGUCGCCGCCGGAGAGGUAGCGGAGGAGGCAGUAGUCGUAGAAGGCGCGCGCGUCGCCGCUGCCGCGGCAGGAGGAGGCCAGCGCGCGCGCCGCGGCGGAGAGGCAGAGCGCGCAGUCCUGCCGCGGCACGUCGCCGCGGCACUGCGCCAGGCCGUGCACGGCGUCGGCGCCGGAGCCGGAGGUGGAGACGGCGUAGUAGGCGGCCGAGGCGCGCGGGACGAGGGACGCCAGGACGGCGUCGAUGUUGGCUUGUGUCUGCGCCGUCGUGCCGUUCUUGGCGCAGUACGUGGCCACCGGGUCCACGGCGCUGCACGGGCGCGGCGCCGCCAUGGCCGCCGCCAGCAGGAGGAUCACUAGCGGGAGCGGCGGGAGCUGGGCUGCCGGAGCUGCCAUGUUUUGUGUUGUGCGUGCUGCGUGCUUAACUGGUGUUUGAUGCAAUGUGAUUUAUAAGUAGAGCCCGGCCCAUGCUGCACUAUUUUGCUAGUUGGGCAAAUUGCAAUGUGCGCGUGCAUGGAGGCAGCCAUGGCUGACCGCGACGUUGAUGGUGAUGGGGAUGACUCUUGUUUGUGGCCGUAGCAUUAACUUUGACUUUGACCUAGUCAACUUGUAGAUCGUGGAUAUAUCAAUCGAGAAUGAGUGGUCCACGUACGCCAUGCAUGCAACCAAAAGGCCUCGUGGUGAGCUAUAGCAUACUCCAAUUAAUUUCUAGAUGAACUGAUAAUUCAACCCUAGGUAUUAAUUGCUGGAUUGAUUUAUAUGUCGAACUCUAGAUCGAAUUAGUGGUCAUCUAUAUAUGCAGCCAAAAGGACGCCUCUCGCUGAGCUAGCUGGCUAGGUCAAUAUCUGAACUGUUCUAGCAGUCGAUCGAUGGACGAUCUGUUAAUUAAUUGAAACGUUUAGCUACCUAUAUAUGCUUCAGAAGAAGAAAAAUACACAUAUGGACUGAGCUGGUGUUAGAUUUAGCAGGCCGGUCAUACAAAGUGUAUAUCAACCAGCGACCGAUCCGGACAUUAAAUUGCAGACAUGGUUGACCAUACAAAGUGCCUGCCUCUUAAUUGUUGCCGGCGCCCGGAUGCAGCAUUGCUGGAUUCUGUCAAACUUCUAGAUGCAUGCGAUCGAUCAAAAGUUCUUCUCGCUGAGGUCAAUACCCGAAACUGCAAGCAAAUUAAGUAACCCAACAUGCAUGCAUGCUCUAGUUAGUACGUCGAUUGCUCUGUUCAUUCAACAUUAGCAUUGAUUAACUGCUUGAUCCUGUCAACUUCUAGAUCAAUCGUAUAGAGAAUGGUCAUGCAUGCAUGCAUGCAUGAUAGCUGGGUCACGGAUCGAUCUGAAACCAGCGUACUAAUCCAAAUGUUAAUUUUAGGCGAUUUUUCUCUUGGGCAAUUGUUAAACCUGGUCAUAUAUGGGCUCUGUUAAAUAUACUCAAUAUCUUUUCCUACAAUUCGAGCUUUUGGUUUAACUGGCCGAGUACAACAGUUCAAUAUGAUAUUAGAGCCAAGAUAGGUUAAACUCAAAGACUACCAAAUUCAAGGUCUCAAUUUCAUAUGGUUUUAAAAAUUAAAUCCUAAACUGAAGUGAGAAUAAGUGUUGAAAUAUAUUAAGCACUUGUCUCUAACAUUUAUAGCUUUUGCGUGAACUUGGUUAGGUACAUAUAAUUAAAAUUUUGUCUCCUGGGCAAUUGUUAAACCCAGACGUGUCACGCCACUAAGCUCUGUUGAAAACAAGUCGCUAGCUAGCUUGUACUGAGUGAAUUGAAAGAACUAAAGAAUCAAUCCAUGGAGACUGAGGUGGUGUUGGAUUUGGCCGGUUAUCAAUUGGGACUUGGCGACACUAACGCUGCACAUUACCGGUCAACACGUUAGGUCGCCGCCUUGCUGUGUCGGGCACUCAACUCGAUCUCCUUUUUCUGUUUAAUCAACAGAUCAGACUAUAUAUAUAGCCGCAGCAGCUUGUUGUAUUUUGACUUUUUGACUCCGUUAACUCAUCUGUACUACAGUAAUAAAGUUCGAAUGAACUUCUUUUAAUACUCCAAAAGAAAUUCUGAGCUCUGUUAUACCAAAAGGAAUCAAGUCAACAAUGGCACCAUGUAUCAUACUUAACCUGAAGCCAGCAAUUCAAUAGCCACUUAUUAGAUUACAAACUGGGGCAAAAAGUGUGCAUGAUUGUGUUUCAACAAAAAGAUAAAUGUUCAAUUAGAAAGGCGAAGUAGAGAACUGGCUCGCCGCAUUGAGGACAGACGCAGGCAACACUGGUGCUGUUCCUGUGGCCUGCAGGGAGAGUAAGGUCGAGCAGUUAGUAAUUUGGUCGUCGAUGUAAAGGGCAGGCGCAGCAUAUCACACACGAUGUAAAAUAUAGAAUGUUGUGAAUGCUACAAAACCAUAAUUUUGCAAAUACUUGCAAUAAGCAAAAGCGCCAAACACUGUUUGAGUUUUAUUAUCACAAAUACAUGUUGCCUCCAGUGUCAGGGUUUAUCAAAAGCAAUGCUAAGUUUUGGAGAUCAUUACAGAUAAAUAACAUUGCCGGUGCUCUAAUUAUUCUGGAGCAAUUUGCUGACUAAACAUUUAGAGAGAAAAUUUCAAUGAUGUCACUGCUAAAAUUCUCUGAAGAAAUCAUGUACAUGGUCAUAUGUUCUUAAGAAUAUAAUUCUGCUUGAUGUUCAUAUAUAAACUAUUAUGGACCGGAGGGAGUACUAACUAAAACAUUAGACUAUCAUAUGUCAGAUACAGAUAAUUCUUUCCAGUGCAACAAUCCAACAUCUGCCACCUAGAAGAUAUUUUACUUGCCAUAUCUUGGUUUUGAUAGCAUAUAAUAAUUUGAUAAUUUCUCCAAGAUAAUAUAAAGAGACAAGUGGUGAAUUUUCUCCACCCUGCACCUAUGAAUAAGUUGAUAACAAUAGUAGCAGACCGAGCUCAAUGAUAGUGCCAUAAAAUUAGUAGUUUCUCCAAGAUAACAACACUAUGGUGUAUAGUUGCCAGCAAAUUUAUAAUCCUUCCAAUCCAUAAUAAGUGUCUUGGAUUUAGUACAAAGUUAUACUAGCUUUGUACUAAAUUCAAGACACUUAUUAUGGAUCGGAGGAAGUAGAUGAUAGUGCUCCAACUCAAUGAUGUGGUAAGAGACACUAUCAUAAGGAAAACCUCCGGAAAACUGUAGUUGUUGUCAUCAGUGGGCCAAGCAGUGCUGACAUCACAACACAAUUACUGGACAAAAGUAGCUCUUAUCUUAUUGAGAGAAUCAUUCUCUUGCACAUUUUGUUUGAGAGGAAUAACAGGGGACACACAAACUAGCAGCGGAUCUUAAACAACAAGGCUACAGUUCUGGAGUAUCAAUGGAAGUUUACACUAGGGAUGACAAUUUUGGUUAUCAUGGUAAUGGAUGCGGUGUUUACACUCCCCAAGAACAUAGAUACACUGUAUUUAACACCGAAGAAAGACAACUUUUGCCAGAAUUGCAAUGGCUACCGGGAGGCUAGAGUCAAAUAUUGGCAUAACCUGCCAAUGCACAAUAUAAAGGCACAGACAGGUAAUGAUGAACUAGCUUGUCCAGUCAACUACUCCCUCCAUUCCAAAAUACACCUCAUAUAGAUUUGUUCACUUGGACCAAAGCAGCUCUCGUUUUUAGUGCCUGACCACUCAUAUUGGGUUAAUAAUAAAUGGAUGUGAUUAGUUAUUGGCCGGGUGCGGGUACCAAGAGAAAAAUGAGGUGUAUUGUGAAACAAAUGAGAAAAAUCUAUACACGUUGUGUUGUGGAACGAAGGGAGUACUUUCUACCAAACCACAGCGCAAAGCCAGUUGUGAUGUUCCACACAGCACGCAGAGACCAGUGAAUUACAUGUAGCAUUCCCUCAACAAGGCUCUCUUGCCGUUUCCCACUCAUGCUCAUUCGCCCCUUAUCCUACUCCCAAUCUCCCCAAACCACUCUACCGAUUCCUCAUCGCACGCCGGCAUGAACGGGGAGUAAUCAAGCGAAUGACCACAGAAAAACUGUUCUAACCUGCACGCCCCCUCCAGAAACCCAGAUCUACCACGAGAACUAUCAGCCCACAGAUCCAUCUACCAAUACCCAUGGACGGAUCGAGCGAACAGGAGUUAAAAGGAUGGGAUUUGCGUGCUUCACCUGGCGAGUGGCCGAUCGGCGGAUCAGCGCCUGUGCUCCUGGACGAACUUGGAGUUCUUGAGGUCCUCCUCGGUGAACCCGGCGGUGAGCUUGGUGAUGAGGAUCCCCGUGACUGCGAAGCCGGCGAGGAAGGGCCAGUUGCGGCGCCACUCCCGGCGGAAGAAGACGGGCCACGGGUCGAAGGUCUUCAUCUCCGAUCUCUCCUCCCUUUGGAUUCAGUCCGCGAAUCAGCUCCUCUCUCUCUCCUUCGAUGUGUUGCUUCGUUCGUAGCGGCCGGCGACUACGGGAAGAGGGAGAAGAGAGAAUGGUAAUUGGAUCGGGCCAGAUUGGGCCUGGGACUUGUGGGCCAUAUUGGGCCUGGAUGUGGUGUGGAAAGUUGGGCCCGAUGAAGAGCGUUCAUUGAAAUUUGGGCUCUUCUUCUUUUCCUAGCGUUAAUUGAGUUCAGCUGAGAAGAGUUCGAGAACUCUCUCAAAAAAAAAAGAGUUCGAGAGAAUUGUCUGAAUUAGAUUAAAAAAAACUGAUACUCCGUAUUACAGUACUUAGUACAGCUUCUUUUUUGUUUUCCUUCAACAAGGAGCUAAUUAAUGGAUGUAAGAUAAAUAGAUCCAGCAUGUAGGUCUGGGGGGUCGUUAGUGGUUCAAUGACGAGCGGUUGAAUCAACGGAAAUGUUUGCAAAUAUUAGGAGAUAACCAAUACAAUGUCCGUGCGUUGCCACGGACUUAAUUUCAUUCCCUUUCACAUGUAAUAUAAUGCAUGCGAAAAUUCAUAUUUGUAGAAAACCAACAAUAUGAUUUGACAUUGAUUAAAAUUGACUUGGACUUCUAUAACUCUACCCACGGCGGAGAAAGUAUCACCAGAUAGUUACCACUCUCAACAUACACUUCUAUGUAGGUUACCUUAGGCAUGAUCUCAACAAGGACGAAAUUCGGGCAAAGAACCCGAACACCGUCGCGAAUAGCUCCGUCAAAGUAAGAAUUACUUUCAUACUCGCUGCUCCCGAGCCACACUGCUACAGAAAUACAUAUAGACGCUUUUUAUACAUCAGGUCAGUGGUGAUUUUUAUGGAUUAAUAAAAUAGCACCAAUUAAAGCUUGCAGUGUGAUUAAUUUGUGUACAUCUACUUCAUAUCACACACACAUACAUACACCAUCUUUAUACAUCAUUAUACACAGAAGUGUCAGCAUACAUCACACGGACCGGGAUUCAGUGAAGUUAGCAAUUUCACCGAGAGACUUAGCGACCUCCAUCUGCCAUUCAAUCCAUAUCUAACGGCCAGCAGUGCACAAAGGCAAAGAAAACGUCGAGACUGGCUAGUUUCAGUGUUUCAAACACCUGAAGCAAUCUGCCUUCGAUUAACACCUGAAAAUAUGGAUAGUUGGACAGAUUAUGAAAGAAAAACCUGAACAAAUCAUGAGGGGAAAACUGACCCAAUUAUGAGGAGAAAAUCUAUAUAACUGGACAGAUUAUGAGGGGAAAAUCUGUACGAAAAACUGUAACAAAAACUGAAGGUAUAAAGACUAUUGUUAUGCAUAACAGCAUAACAUUGACAGUUUGUACUUGUAGCACUCAGCACCAAUUCUCAAGGCAAAACGCUCAGCACUAUUGUUCUCCAUAAGUGAACCAAUUCUGAAGGCAAAGCGCUCAGCACCAAAAUCCUCACUAAAUCAGCACCAAAAUCCCCACUAAAUAAGCACAAAAAUUACACCUUCGGUGCAGUCAACCCAUGGGCGGGGACGCAACGGCUCCAGACGUCCUCCACGGCUGCUCCCGGCGGCAUGGCGUCUUGCUUCUCCUGCACGGAGUUGGGUCCGUCCACCUUCCCUCUGCUCCACGGAGGCGCAGCGAGCAGUUCGAUCCCGUUUCAUGCGAGCCGAUUCCCACUACAUGCGCAGCGAUCAGCUUGCUUGGAGGCCGCCGACGCCGCGCCUGGAGACGGCCGCGCCAGGGAAGCCAGCAACGCCUGGAGGCCGCCUGCCGCCGCCGCGCCUGGAGAGGCCGCCAUACCACCUGGAGGCCACGGAGCCUCUGCUCCCCGCCGACGCCGCGCCUGGAGGCGGCCGCGCCAGGGAAGCCACCGACGCCUGGAGGCCGCCUGCCGCCGCACCACCUGGAGACCACGGAGCCUCUGCAGGGGAGGCCGCCGUUGCUUGUAGGUGGAGUACCGGGACGGUUCGGGGCGUUGAAGAUGGAGACCGGGCCGCGCGGAUCCGGAUCGGGAUGGCGGCGCUAUGGACGGAGGAGGCGGCGGUGCUGGUUGGAGGAGGCGCGCGUCGGUGUAGGGAGAGAGGAAUGAGAAGGGCGAAGACGAAAAACUGCCACCACGGACGAAACCCAACUACAGAAACACUACUGCUUUUAUUAUUAGGUAAGAUAAGAUUAGUCAAACUUUACUCGUGAGUGGAGAGCAUAUGGGUCUGCUUAUUUAAAGGAUUCAAGCAAUAAGCAAUAAGCAAGUAAGAAACUCCAGACAGAGGGCGAGCUUCAUAACGUAAUUCAUAACGAGAGCAGUAUAGUAAAUAUAUGAGUAAAUUUCAUAAAACCACACUUCUUGGGGUUAGGAUUUCAACGGGCCGCAGUUAUGACUAAUGGUCUCACAAAACCACACUUUUUCGGACAGAUCUUCUCACAGAACCCAAAUCAGGUAAUUAAAAGCAUUUGAUGGUGUUUCUGUCAAGUGAGACCCACAUGUCGGAUGCCAGGUCGGAUGUGUCAAACUUUUUUUGUCCACGUCAGCUUUUGCCCGACACCCUGUUAAGCUCCUCUGUCUACCCGGGAAAUCCCGACUCGAUCCUGGCAUCCGACAUGUGGGUCCCACUUGUCAGAAACACCAUCAAACGCUCUUAAUUACCUGAUUUGGGUUCUGUGAGAAGAUCUGCCUAAAAAAAUGUGGUUUUGUGAGACUAUUAGUCAUAACUGUGUCCUGUUGAAACCCUAGUCCCAAUAAGUGUGGUUUUGUGAAAUUUACUCUAAAUAUAUCAAACAAUCUGAUGCCAAUUGCCAAGUCCACACAAGAAUAGCAUCAACUAAGACCACUCCUGUGGGUCACUUUUAUUUCAGCUUCAGGCAACAAGAACAGUAGCUUCAGGCUUCAGCAUCCCGCUUGUAUUUAAGGAUGAUGGUUUCCCUACAGGGGGAGAACAUCACACCCAGUAAGUUUGUUUCUUUGCAGAUAUGGGGGAAAUAAAUCUGUAUGUUUAAGGAGAAAACAAUAAAGUGCUCGCAAAAAGCGUGGGCUACUGAAAUUUCAUAGCAAUACCUCCUGCGUGCAUCGCAAAUGAAUCUCCUCGUAGUAUUCAACUUUCUUCAUCAGCGUCGCUCUGUUCCUGAUUCAAUUCAUUAUCAGUGUCAUCCUCUUUGAUUUCUCCAGUGAGAGUUAACCUGGGAUGGUUGGGAUUGAGAUUUACUUCCUUCCUUAUGGCGGCUGCUGCAGCCAUGCAUUCCGCAGAUGUAGCACCCUCAAUGUAAAGGUCAACCUCAAAAUCUUUCAGGCAUAAGAGGUGCUCAAUACCAAAGUAGAACCCAAAGGGUUUUGCCAUUGAUACAAAAAACGUCAACUCAAGCUUCUCGAGCUUUGGCAGUGCCCCUUCCUCAAACAGAAAGGUUGCCGCACCUCCACUAAAAGGUUCAAAAACAAACUCCUUCAAACAUUGAAAUCCUCUGCUUCGCACGGGAAUCCUGUCUUUUUGGACCUUGUUGGUACAAAGUAUCAGAGAUAGCAACGCAGGCAGCUCUCCAAGUAUGCGAAGAUCCUCCUCUGUUACUUCACUUAAAUUAAUGUUUAGGUAUGUAAGACCGGUGUGUGCUGGUGCAAUCCACGUUGGAAGUUUGGAGAAAGAGUAGUUAGCACGCAUCACAAAACUUUGGAGGGAAGAUGGCAAAGGAGACCAAGAAUCUAAGAGCUCGAAUGGAGUUGAAUUACCACCUCUUAUAAAAACAGACUGAAGUUUGUAGCCGCCAAGCUUGCAUAGUGAGGAGAGUAACAUCUCUCCAUGUCUCUUGUAGUUGUGAGUUUCUGCGUCGUCUGAUAUGUAUUGUACAUCGAGUACAUUCAAAUUGAUCAAGUUCCCUAGCUCCUCUACUGCAACAACAGAGCUCAUGGUGAUAUUAAAGCCAGAGACCUCACGCAAGUUUGUCAUAUUCCCGAUUCCAACUGGUAGCUUUGUUUCUCCAUAAUAGCUUCCAGUGAGAUGUUGUAGUUUAAUCAGUUGAACAAUGCCAGCUGGCAACUCAUUAAUGCAUGCACCCCAGAGAUCUAAUGUCUCUAGAUUAUGUAGCAUCACAACUCCUAAUGGUAGCUCUGAUAAGUAUGGGUCAUCAAAUCUCAGGUACUUUAGGUGGAACAGGUUGCCCAUACUACUCAUAUCAUACUCCUCUAGCUCCCCAUCCCCUUCAAGAUCGAGUACACGUAAAGUUUGAAAUUUAACAAGACCGGGCAAGUGUUUGAUGCAACCAGGUGGUGAUACUGUUAGAGAUCGAACAUGGCUUAAAUCUUUCUUUGCCAAUUCAGAUGCAAGCUCCUGGUCAAUGUCCUGGAUCGAUAGUCGUCGAAUUAAACAUUGAGAAUUUUCACAAACAGUUUGCCUGCCAUUUACCACCGUGAUGAAAUUCUCUUCAACGGAUUUUGAAAUAAUAAGUUCAAGCAGCAUGUCAUGAACUCGACAAGCACGAACCGUACCAUCAAAACUAAUGCCCACAGGUUGAACCAUGCUUUUGUUGAUGAGCUCAUAGAAAUAACCCUCUGCAACCUCUUGACGGCUCUUACCACGCUCUUCCGAAAUAAAUCCUUCUGCUAUCCAUCGCCUCACUAACCUUUCUCUCUCGAUCAAAUAAUCCUCUGGGAAUGUACUCAAAUAUAGCAAGCAAGUCUUGAGAUUUGCAGGAAGAUCAUUGUAGCUAAGAGAUAGUAUGUUUUUCAUGCCCUCUAAACUUUUGCUUUUGUACAAGUCAGAACCAAUUGAUCUUUUCACCUUCUCCCACUCCUCUUUCACAUGUGGUUUGUUUGCCAAUAAACAAGAUAUACUGAUAAUUGCCAAUGGUAGGCCUCCACACUUUUUCAAGAUUUCAGCUGAAACUUCUUUCAGCAUAUCAGGGCAGCAGUCCUCUGAGCCAAAAAUUCUUUUAAAAAAUAGUCUUUCAGAGUGAAGAUUACUUAGAGGUGUCAUUUCAUAGAUCUUGUCAUCAACAUCUGGACAACAAAAUCUUGCUACUUCAAAUAUGCGCGUAGUAGCUAUAAUUCUGCUAGAACAGUUGUUCUCUGGGAAAGCACACUUGAUAGCGUUCCACGCUAAUAUGGACCAUACGUCAUCAAUAAUGAUAAUGUACCUAAUUAAUGGAUGUUAGUAUUUAACUGAGAUAAAAUCAAUCAAUUGUGAUAAAUAUGGAAUUCCACUAGAAUGUUUUUGACAAAUCGUAAAACUCCCACAGCGAUAAUAAAAUCAAUUUACCCAUUCUUUUAAAAAAGUCUUUAAGUACUCAAACUAUAUUAACACAACUUAAUGCUUAUACUUCCAUGUAUCAUGCCCAUUUAAUUGAAGUACAAUUCUUUAGUUACAACUGGAACUCAAAUCUAUAGUACAAUUUAAGUUCAGUUUGUUAGAGUUACAGUUGUAUAUGUUUUCCAUUUGCUGUGUAUUUUCUCCAUUGUAUAAGGAGUUUCCUGCAUGAUUACCACACCAGUAUGUGUAUUUAUAAUUAUACAUGCCGUUGGCCUCAGGGGCAGAGCCAGGAAAGAAAUUAAGAGGGGGCAAUUAGACACUCUUAAGCAGCUAUAAUAUAAUUUAGAGGGGGCAUCAAUGGUGGAAAUCUAAGAUUUACUUUGGUAUGCCAUAAUUGAGUGGGGGAUGGAGUUGAGUUGUAUAUCUUUUUCCAUAUAUCUAUUGUGUAUUCUCGCAUUAUAUAAGAAGUUUCCUCUAUAUUUACCAUGCAUGUGCGUGUAUUUAUACUGGCCCUUGGUCUCCAGGAAAGGAAUACCUCACACAGCUAAUUAUGUGGUAAAUGGUACAAUACAACUAGUGGUGCAAUGUUGUUUCUUCUAUGAAAUUUUGAAAGUACAUGCAGAACCAGUUAACUGAAAUUAGCAGUAUGCCCACGAGAUAUGUUUUGAAGGAAACAAUAAGUUGAAAUUACCUCUUAUCAUGUAGUAAUUCUCUUAGCAUUGCAAAUGAUUUCUUUUCGUCCCAAGCUUGCAUAUCUUUUUUUAACUCAUCCUGGCAAGGCCCCUUGGGUAUCACUUGGGAGAUCAGUUGGUAGAUCGCAUCCUUGACAAUUUUCUUUGUAUCUGGUUUUUGCGAGACAGAAACAAAAGCAUGACAAUGAAAAUGCCCUUUAAUUUUGCGAUAGACUUCAUUCGCCAGUGUUGUCUUUCCCAAUCCACCAAAACCAACAAUAGACAAGACCUUGCGAUGGUCUUUGUUUUCAUCUUCCACCAUCCACUUGGCAAGAUCAUCUCUUGGACCAUCAAUACCCACAAGGUGUGCCUCCUCAGCAAAAAGAGCAGACAGGCGGGGAUCCACAACUGCAUGGCUGGAGAUGCUAGAAGCAAUAUCAUCCAGCUUGUAACUAGUCUUGAGAUCUUUCACUUCCUUGAUACGAGCCUUCAGGUCAUCGAUUUGGUCGGCGAUUCCACGCCGAGCCCCAAGCGUCUUUAGACGGCGAGCCGCCUUGCGGAAGAGCUCCUUGAAGCCGCCAUCAUGGCCACCAUCGCCGAGUUGUUGAACGAACUUAUCGAAGCAAUCCUCGGUGUCAUAGGCCAGCUCCCUGACCAGCGACAUCCAUUCCUUCACCUGGUCAUCAGGAUCCUCCAGCUUCGUGUACUUUUUUAGCGCACCAUGCAUGCUGGUAAGCUCAGACCGGAGGGACCGGAUCUCGCGGCGGACUCCUUUCAGGCGGCCGCACUCAUUGGCGAGCAGAUUUGUGAGCUUCCCCAACAGGGGACCAAACGCGCCAAGUGAAGCGCUCACUGCAGCCUCCAUCGGUCCCUCCUCUGGUCCCGGCGUGUUUGCUUGCCGUCCACUGGACCGUACGGCAGCGGCAGCGGCACAAACAAGAAUAAUCAGUGAGAAUAAUAAUCAAUAAUCAGCAGCAGCAGCAGCAGAAGGAGGAUUCAAGAGAAGGAUCAGCAGCCUCACCGUCGCCGCACUGUCCAGACGAAUCACCACGCAAAGGUUCCGCCACGGCGCCGCAGCCACAAGCUAACUGGAUGCAGCAGAGCCGCCGCAGCGGCAGCGGCAGCGGAGACUGACUGGAGCGGGAUCCCUCGAUGGAUGAUGUCGAUUGCUUUGGCUCUCGGCCCGGUAGGUGUAGGAUUGUAGUCGAAGGUGAAUGAUUGAUGCCUUGAUGGUGAACCCCAUGUGGGAGGCUCAGGCCUCAGGGGACCCAACGAGCACCCGGGAGCAGGGGACCCAACCCAGCCCAAAAAUUCCUCCUCGAUCUGUCCUCGAAUCUCCGCUUUAUCUCUCUCGCUUUCAUGGCCAGGGUUUGUGCUCCUCACCUGGACCAACUAAUUGGAGCUCUUGAGGUCGUCCUUGGUGAUGAGGAUGCCGGUGACGGCGAGGCUCCCGCCGGAAGAACACCGGCGUCUUCUCGAUGUGUUGCUUCGUUCGGCGGCCGGCGGCGAUGACGGGGAGGAGUAGAGAGUGGUUAUGGAUUGGAUCGUGGUGGGCUUCUGAGUCUUUUUUAGGGUAUGGUGGGCUUCUGAACUUUUUCUAGGGUAUAGUGGGCUUCUGAUGGGUCCGACCGGAGGUAUGGGCCACAAUUGGGCCUGCUCGAGUGAUCGGUAACUUUUAGGCUGUUGGUUAAAAGAAACGGAUAGCUUCUGCUUCUUCUUUGAGGGAAAUGCUAUGAGCAGCUUCUUCUACUUUUUCCCAGACUGUAUGAACUGAAUUAGCUCGGAUCUGAAUUCUGGAGUUCAUUUUUUAUAUGGAAACUUUAUUAUUUAAAGAACAGGAUUACAGUCCGCAACCAAAAGAUUUUUUUUUUAGAAGGGCAGUCCGCAACCAAAAGAUCUGCAAAUCUGCAAUCCCGUUAGGAGCAUCUUAUAACCACAAGUUGGUUAUGCGUCACACUUCAUAAAAAUUUAUGGCACAUAAGUAUGCUGCCUUGAUCAGGUGGAUCACCAUGAAUGCAAUUUUUCAGUUUUGCCUAGCUAGCUACAAUGAAUGCAAUUAUCCAGAUGUAUUUCUGGCUUGUUAUUGGCUCCAGGACGAGCAGUUGAAUCAAAAGAAGUAUUUGCAAAUAAAAAGCAGGUAAUUAAAUCGUACUCACUCAUGACUAUGACUGAAGUACUGAACAAGCAUAUUGUCUGCUUAUUUAAGUUACAAUCAAGUACAUAAGCACGAAGCUCCAGUCCACGCAGAGGGCGAGCAUCAUGAUACAAUUCUUCACAAAUUAUAGUAAAUAGAUGGAGACAUUCUGAUGCCAAGUUCAUACAACUAAGACCACUCGUUGUGGGCCACUUUUAGGGAGAAAGGGAGAGACCAUAAGACCGUCAGAAAGGUUCUGGAAGAUAUGGAGAAAAUGUGUAAGUUCAAGGACAAAACAAUAGAGUUAUCACAGAAAGCAUGAGCUACUGAAAUUUUGUAAUAAGAAUGAUAUCGAUACCUCUUGCAUUGUAAUACUUCAACUUUCUUCGUCCCAAUGCUCCACUUUCAAACCUCCCUCCAAUGUCUCCACAUAGAGAGUUACCCUGAGAUGGUUGGGAUGGCGACUUGCUUCAUUCCUUAUGGCAAGUGCAGCAGCCUUGCAUUCGGAAGAUGUGGCACCCUUGUCAAGAACAACAAUUGCAUCCUUCAGACAUCGUAGAUGCUCAAUACCUAAGUAGAACUGAUAGACUUUUGCCCUUGAUACACAGAACCACAACUCAAGCCUCUCGAGCUUUGGUAAUACCGCUUCCUCAAACAGAAAGGUCCCUGCACCUCCACCAAAAGUUCUGUAAGAAAACUCCUUCAAACAUUGGAAUCCUCUGCCUUGCACAAGAAUCCUGUCUUCUUGAACCUUGUCGGUACUAAGAGUUAGAGAUAGUAAUGCAGGCAGCUUCCCAAGUAUGUGAAGAUCCCGCUUUGUUACUUCAGUUAAAUUAAUGUCUAGGUAUGCAAGACUAGUGAGUGCUGGUGAAAUCCACUUCGGAAGUUUGGAUAAAGAGUAGUCAGCAAUCAUCUCAAAUCUUUGGAGGCAAGAUGGCAGAGGAGACCAAGAAUUUAAUAACUCAAACAGAGUCAAAUUACCACCAUUUAUACAAAGGGACUGGAGUUUGUAGCUGCCAAGCUUGCAUAGUGAGGAGAGUAACAUCUCUGCAUGUCUCUUGUACUUGUGAGAUUCUUCACUGUUACAUGUGUACCGUACAUGCAGUACAUUCAAAUUGAUCAGACUACCUAGCUCCUCCAAUGCACAUACUGAACUCAUGGUAAUAUUGAAGCCUGAGAACUCCCGUACGUUUGUCAUGUUCCCAAUCCCAAUUGGUAGCUCUGUUUUCUCCGGUCCAUCGAAAUUUUCGAUGAGUAGACGUUGUAGUUUAAUGAGCUCAACAAUUCCAGCUGGCAACUCGUUAAUGAAUGUAUCCCUAAGAUCUAGUGUCUCUAGGCAACGUAGCAUCACAAUUCGUGAAGGUACCUUUGAUAUGUCCGUGUCCCUAAAACUCAAGUACCGCAGUUGGAAUAGUUUGUCCAUACUAUUCAUAUCAUACUCCUCAAGACCAUCGCAACCUUCAAAAUCCAAUACACAUAAAGCCUCAAAGUCAACAAGACUAGGCAAGUAUUUGAUGCAACUUGAUGAUGUUACUGUCAGAGAUCGAACAUGGCUUAGAUCUUUCUUCGCCAAUUCAGAUGCAAGCUGCUGGUUAAUGUGUUGGAUAGAUAGUCGCCGAAUGAAGCAUUGAGACUGUUCCCAAACAGUUUGAUUGCCGCUUACCACCGUGAUGAAAUUCUCUUCAAUGGACUUCGAAAUGAUAAGUUCAAGCAUCAUGUCAUGAACUCGACAGGAACGUGCCUUACCAUCAUAGCCAAUGUCCACUGGUUGGACCAUGCUUUUGUUGAUAAGCUCAUAAAAGUAAUUCUCUGCAACAUCUUGACAACACUGCCCACGUUCUUCAGAAAUAAAUCCCUCUGCUAUCCAUCGCCAUACUAGCCUUUCUCUCUCAACCACAUAAUCCUCAGGAAAAUUACUUAAAUACAACAAGCAAGUCUUGAGAUUAGGUGGAAGAUCAUUGUAGCUCAGGGAUAGUAUGCUUUUCAUUCCCUCUAGACUUUGGCUUUUGUUCAAGUCAUAACCAAUUGAUCUUUUGACCUUCUCCCAAUCUUCUUUCACACGUGUUUUGUUUGCCAGUAAACCAGAUAUACUGAUGAUUGCCAAUGGUAGGCCACCACACUUUUUCAAGAUAUCAUUAGAAACUUCUUUCAACAUAUCAGGACAGCAGUCCUCUGAGCCAAAAAUUCUUUUGAAAAACAGUUUUUCAGAGUGAGAAUUACUUAGAGGUUUCAUUUCAUAUAUCUGGUCAUCAGGACAUGGACAACAAGAGCUUGCUACUUCAAAUAUGCGUGUGGUAGCAAUAAUUCUGCUAGACAAAUGGUUCUCUGGAAAAGCACACUUAAUAGCGUUCCAUGCUAAUGUAGACCAUAUGUCAUCAAUAAUGACAAGAUACCUAAUACAUGUUAGUAGAUAGCAUCAGCUGUGAUAUAGUAUAUGGAAUUCCAGAAGAAAAAUGAAAGAACUGUAAGACUCCAAAAUCAUAUAAUACUUAGAUACUAAAACUAUAUUAAAACAAUCAUAUGUUCGCUAAGAGUUGAUAUAGUUUUGGUAGUGUAAGACUUUUAUCCGUCAUAUGAGUGAGAAAAUUUAGUAGAUUGAAUUCUUCACUUUAUCCCUGUACAUACAUUGUAAAUUGUUUUGUUCACUUCCUUUAUUUAUAAGAAUAACUAUACUCUUUAUUGUUUGCUUCAACAGAUUAUUAAUGCAGAGAAUAGAAAUAACAUUGUGAACUCCUACAAGGGCAACAGAGCAGGCAUACAACACUGACAGCGCCCACCAGGGUACUGGUGUUCAAAUUCACACACACACAAGUUCUUUGUUAGUUCUUGGCAUGCAUGUGUGCGUUUACCUUGUAACUGGAAACAAUUGGGAACUCAAGAAAUAGUUUAUAUUUUCCAAUGCUAAGCAUUUUAGCCAAGUUUUAGAAGUAAAUAUGUCACAUACUAAUUUACAACUAGCAGGUUACAAUAUUUGUAGCUCGUUCCAUUUUAAUAGGUUCCUGAAUUAUGCUAAGCCAUGUGAUCACAAGAACAGCUGGUGAUGCAAUGUUGUUUUCUUAUGUAAGUAAAAUAAAACAACAUGCUAGAAACAAUCUAUACCACGAAUAAUGACAAUUAAAGCACAAGACAUAUGUUGCACAAAAUAAUAACACUGGAAAUUACCGCUUUUCUUGUAGUAGUUCUCUUAGCUUUGCAAUGGAUUUCUUUUCAUCCCAAAUCUCCAAAUCUUUAGUAAAUUCAUCCUUGGAGGACAGUUGGGAGAUGACAUCCUUGAUAAUUUUCGUCGUGUCUGGCUUUUGCGAGACUGACACAAAGGCAUGACAAUGAAAAUGUCCUUGAAUCUUACGAUAGAUUUCAUUCGCCAAUGUCGUCUUUCCCAAUCCACCAAACCCAACAAUAGACAACACCCGUCGAUGAUGCUUGUUUUCUUCUUCAAGAAUCCACUUGGCAAGAUCAUCUCUUGGACCGUCAACUCCAACAAGGUGUGCCUCCUCGGCAAAUAGAGCAGACAGUCGGGGAUCCACGGAUGUUUGGCCAGAGGAGCUGCAAGCAAUAUCAUCCAGCUUGUAACUAGACUUAAGAUCUUUCACUUCCUUGAUACGAGCCUUGAGGUCGUCGAUUUGGUUGGCGAUUCCAUGCCGAGCUCUAAGCAUCUUUAGACGGCGAGCUGUCUUGCAGAAGAACUACUUGAAGCCACUGCCCUUGCUGCCAUUGCCGAGGUGGUGAAUGAACUUGUCAAAGCAGUCCUCGGUAUCGUACGCCAACUCCCUCACCAACGAUAUCCAUGCUUUCACCUGGUCAUCAGGAUCCUCUAGCUUGCUAUACUUCUUUAGGGCACCAUGCAUGCCCGUGAGCUCAGCUCGGAGUGAACGGAUCUCACAGCGAACGCCUUUCAGGCGGCCGCACUCAUCGGCGAGUAGAGUGGUGAGCUUCCCCAGGAAGGGGCCCAACGAACCCUCCGAAGCGCUGACCACCUCCAUGGAUACCUCUAGCUAUUCCAUUCCAUCUCCCGUUUUUGUUUGUAUGCUUCAAGUGGAGACAACUCAGGAGGUGCAAGAACGAAGAAGCAAUCUGGCUUAACUAUUAGCUGCAAUAAUAUUUUCUUCCGCUCAGCUAACGAUGGCUGGCAUGUGCAGGGGGGACGCAUGCUACCAUAGAAGCAAACUCAGAAUUCAGGUCAAACUAGGACAGGGAUAGACACUCGUUAGCAGUAAUAAAUUUCAGGUCAACAAAAUCCAAGCCAUAAAGAAAACAUCAACACGGCAUCUUGCCGGCCACUUGCGCAAUUCGACUAUAUUCAAACCUCGAUUUGACAACGACACCAGCUCUACACUAACAUUUCUCCCAACUCCUCCUAUACUUGACUUGCAUCAAGCAGCAACUGAGAAGAAAUAAUUAUAUCAAAUGAUCCCGUUACAGAAGGCUGCCAAAUAAUCUUGCGCCCCGUAGCGAACCACAGAUCUAGCCAAGACACACCAAUGGGUUUAAUUUAAACAGCGGUCGGUUGUCACCUGGAGAUAGAUUGAUCGCUGUGCUCCUCCUCAGUGAAGCCGGCUGUGCCCUGUAGGCAUGGGGACGAGGAUGCCGGAGACAGCGAAUCCGGCGACGGAGGAGCAGUUUCGGGUUGGGUACACGGCCGUAUAUGGGGGUCGAAGGACUUCAUCUCCGACCAAUCUCCUCUCUCUCUGCCCCCUCUGUCCGGUGUGGCGGGGGGCGAGCCGGCGACGAAGAUGAAGGGGGAGAGUGGUAAUGGGCUGGUGGGUUUCUCAUGGGCUGCGUGCCUGGAUCUGUAUUGGGCCCACCUGCUUUCUUCUCCGAAUAAAGUACACAGUAUAGAGUUCACCGCAGAUGUGAUAGAUUUAUACCGAUUUUGAUUAUUACGACGCGCCCGGCCUUAUAGUUGAGAAGAAAAGGUUUGAUUGUAAGAGGAUGCUCCAGUGGAUGUAGAAAUUGUAAUGACAAAUGCAUUUGGAAUGGAAAUUAUAUUGUAUUGAGUAACAUGCCAUUACAUGGAUUUGAGAAGUAAGAUAAGCACCAUGGGAAUAAACUGCUAUCAAAUGUUUUGCAUGUAGAGAUAAAGAAUGGAAGCAUUUUAUUCAGUUGGCCGACUGGUUUUCUGAUGAAAGUUGGCGGUGCUCUCAAAUAUCUUUUGUUCAAUCCAUUCAUGCAGACAGUUUGUUGCAUGAAUCAUAUCUAUGUGAGUACCGUCGACAUAGUUCGUAAGAUAGGGUACCAAGUGCGCUUCCACAUAUGUUGCUUAUUGAUUCUUCAGCUAACUCCAUGUCAUUUAGUAGUACUUUCCAUCCUUCCUUGGAAUGUUUGGUCAGUGUAGUUUGUUCUUCUAAUUUAUUUUGAAGAUAACUACUCUCGAUCUUCAGUUUUUCUUUAUGGUGAUCAUUCAUAGUCUUCUCAGAAAAAUUCAUGUCAUCAAUUUGAAACAUGUAUUCUUUUUUCAGUACCUCUAUGAGAGCUGUUGCUGCAGCUUCCUCUGCAUCCAUCUUAUUGUUAGCCCGUUCUAUAUAUCCUGAUUAAGGUGUCACCAACGGGUAUCACACACCAAUGGAUAUCACGCAAGAAAUCAUGCAGAAAAAUAGAUACACAGAAGUAUGAACUAAUGAAUAUCACAAUUUCAUAGUUGCAGGAAAUAAACCAGGGACAUUAAAAAAUUUAAAAAAUUAACAAAGAUGGAUGCAAAGAAGCGCAAGCUAACCUGAGCAGGAGCCAUUUGCAAACUUGGAAGUCACGGAAGCUUUUGGAAGCCGGUCAGUAGCAAUUCCCGCAAAACUGACUGCAAUAACAGUAACAAAAGAAUGAAGCAUACAAAUAGCCACCGUACCAAGAAAAAAUUAAGCUGCCAUCUGUCCAUAGGAAAAAAGGAGGAACCUACCUAGGCAGCAACAAUGGCUGCCGGCAGGGGAAGUGGAAGAAACGGGAUUAACAAAGAUGCAGAAAAGGUAUAAAUAGAAGGGAUAACCAAAGAGCCUACCUAGGCAGCACCCACUCGGAUUUCAGUCCAAUGAUGAUAAAUGUGUAUUUAUACUAAAUAAGGGAGUAAUGGUAAUGGAGGAGGAGAAUGGAAAGUAGCAGCAAGCAAUUGAAGUGAAGACGCAUUACCACCAUUAAAACGAUUUAGGGCUAUCAUGACAUUGAAUACGGGACACACCUGUCCACCUCCUCCGGGCGUGGGGGGCUGGUCCCGGCAUGCCCGUUCACCUCCGCCCGCUGCGCACGGAGGUGGGGGCAUGGAGUCCAUCGGGUCGCUGCGCGGUUGGGGCGGACGGGAGGAGAAGCGACUCGAGCCGUCAAGCGAGGGGCAUGGAGGCCACCGCUGCGCGGUUGGGGGGGGCCGGGAGGAGAAGCGACUCGAGCGUCCUGAGAUCGAUCGCGGGUUUUUUUUCUUUCCCGAGGGCUAGGGGGUUUCACGGAGACAUGGGCCAGAUGCAGCGAGGGAGGCUAUUUCAGCCCAACUACUGAGAUUGCAUCCAUUUUCCUGACGGAGCAGCGGCCCAGCCAGCAGGCACGAGCCCCAGGCACGUUUGGACAGCCGAAUAUGGAAAAAAAAAACCGAUCGGACGGCUGAGAGAGGUGAUGGCCUGAGAACGCUCGGAGUCUGUCCCAUUUUGUUGUCUCUAAUUACUAAUAUUUUAUUACUUUCAUUGAGCUUCAGGCGGAGCAAAAUGCUGAAGAAACAAAGAGUUAUGUUUAUUUCCAUAAAAAAACCAACAAAAUCUAUUCCACAGACAGACCUCACUGUAGUUUCUCACUAACUAAUGUAUCUCUAGAAUUCCAACAUUCAAAGAGCAUACUGAUCUAGCCACCGUUGAAACAUAGCAAAACACUCCUUCGGCCUGAAUUCAGGAGCAGUGUGUCCAGCACCCUGUGAAGAGUCAUAAAAGUGGAAUUAUUUUCAAAUCUUACAGACUAAACCCACUUACUAAAAGACGGGGAAAUUAAAUGGUAAGAAACAACAGACCUUCACAGUCGCAAAUGUGAGAUUGUUGGAAUACAUCCUUGUGUACCUGCAAAAUUUGUGAUAUCAGAUGCACAUGUACCUCACACAAUUGGGCCAAGAGCCGCUUGAAACCAAAUCGACACAAUGUGAUGGUAUAGACAGGGAGCUCACCCUGCGACUUGUCCGGUGACAUACCAAGGCCUCCACUCAUCCACAAUGGAGAAAUCAAGUUGCCUGAUCCACGCUUGGGUUGCAAGAUAAGGCACGACCAUGUCAUGGUCGCCACUAAAGAAAUAUAUGAGGUAUUAAGUGCGAUUGCCCAUUACUAAAUCAAUAAUUCAAGUCAAAUGGCUAUCAGCACUUCAUCUUACCUGUAUACUAGUGCACGGUAACCCCUUGUUAUCAAAAUGAGAUGAUACGGGACUGCACUUUCGAUGUCUCUAGUGUACCAGGAUGCGUCAUAACGUUUGCAUCUUUUCCAUUUGGAAAUUGAUCCCUGCACCACAGCUUUUGAAUUAGUGUAGUUGGUUAGGCAGGACAGCUAAACCAACAUAAAAACAUACAAGUACCUCGCGUAUGCCAAGUGACAGUCUAACAGCAUCACUGUUUGCCCAAAGUGGUGAGAGGAGGUAACCGAAGUACUGCCAAUCAAAGAAAGCUGAGAUUUAACACCAUAAACUUGCAAAUUCAGCAUCUCCUUCUGAACAAUGCACAUGUUAAGUCGUGGGAAUAAAUCUUCACAUACUCUAGAUCUUGAAGGAAUUGUGGAGACAGCUGAGGAAAUCACUUCAGCAUUUUCCUCAGUUACAGAAAGCUCCCUUCUAACUCGAGCAUAGAGUUCACCAGAUCUUGUAGAAUCCAAGGGAUAGUCCGCCUCUAAGAUAUGAAACUUAUUUAUAUCUUUUACGCACUGCAAUGUCAUGGUAAAUAUGGGAACAUAUCACACAUAGUAGUUGAUGGACUACAUACAGGUUGAAGCUUGAAAGACACAGGAAAAGGAAAUUGCAAGACGUGAUGUAGAAAACAGAAGCACACCUCGUCGAAAGACUGGAUGUUCUUCUGACACUCAAAAUUCUUGUUAUCCAAAUAGACUCCACCACAACUUCUUUUCGCCGACUAUUAAAAUGGAAACAACAGACGGUGCAAGUGCAACCAAAAAAAUUUCUGAUUAUAGAAAUUUAGUUGAAAAUUCUGAGUCAUGCAAUAUAGCGAAAAGAAAGUUUAAGAUGCAUUCGCUUCCCAGAACAUAAAAGAAUAUGUUUGACAUGCAUAUACAUGUAAUAAAAACCUAUAAGUACAUCAUUGGGCAUAAGUUGGUUUAGUCAACAAUAAUACCAUGUACCACCUGUUCGACAAUGCUAUCUCUAGAUGGUCAACUACAAAAACAUAGUACUCCCUCGUUUUCAGUUUGUUAGGUCCAUCUCUAAAAUCAUGUUAACCAAGAGACAGUUGUGCGGGAAGAACGAAACAAAUUCAUGAAAAAACUGGCCAAUAAACGUUCCCGUUUUCCCCUAGAACUAAUUUUAUUUCUUUAACACCCUCGCAUGUUGGGUCAAAAAUUCUUCGCUCGUUUAAUGCUUGCAUACAGGCCCAUUAACUCGCCCGCUGAUUACAAAGCAUAUAUAGGUUGCAGUUUUAAUGCAGAAAUGAAAAUGACUAAAUGAGCCUUACAAACUAAAACAUCUACAAUUUGAAGAUGGGCCUUGCCAACUGAAAAGGAGGGAGUAGCUUUUAACAACUUUUGGGGUUUAAUUUUUUUAGCAGACUAAACCAUGUUUAUUACUAUCUUCAGUACUACAAGUCUGGGGUCACUAUUACAAGUUUGGAGCUGAAAGCGUCAACGUAUUUGAUGUCAGGAAUAUAGUUUUGUUCUUAUUCAGAACAGAACAUGCUUAUCCAAAAAUAUACACAUGGUGGAAACUUGUACUAAGAAACUUUCAGAAAUUACAAAAAAACAUGAAGAAAAGCUGCAUUAACACCUCAUAUAACUCAUCAGAAAUGAGACCCAUGCCAUGAGCAAAUGGAAUUUGAGCAUUGGUUUCGAAGUUGUCAUCAGUUACUGGGUUGCCAACAACGUAACCCUGAAUGAGAAUGAGAUUAUCUAGAUCAAGUCAGAUAAAAAAUGGAGUAUAUAAUCGUUGGCUUGCAUAAUCAUAUAAUGUCCUAGGACUCCCUAAUCUUAGGGAGGUGUAGAAUGACAUGGCAUUAGUUGAGUAAAUUUUUCGCAGGAAUUAGAAGAAGAAAAAUGCUACUACCUCCGAUCCUAAAUUGUUGUCGUUGUUUUUGUUCAAAUUUGCACUAAAACAACAAGAAUUUAGGAUUGGAGGGAGUAAAUCACAAAAAUAGAACAUUUAAAUGUACUACAAUAUUAUAUGAAUUCUAAAUUUCAACUCAAACCUAACACGUAACAAAAAGUUAUUAUAUUCAACAUUCUUUAAGAAGUACUUCGUUUCAAUUCGUGAUUACUGUCUACUAAGAUAAUAAGGCAUAUACUGCAAAGUGACAGAUUAUUGAAUAGAGUAAGACAUAUAAUAACUUGAGUUAACCAUAUUACUGGAUAAGGUGGUACCCUACCUAUAUCUGUAGAGUAAAGGAGUAUGUUUUCUAAGGCCAACAAACCUUUAGAUUGAAAAAUGGCAUGUUGCUAAAUUCAUCUUCUGCAAACAUGUGUUGAGAAUUUUAUGUUAUUGCCAAUAUUAGCAAAGGUACCAAAGCUAUUAGGAGGAAAAAUUAUUAGGAAAGGCACCCAAGUUAUACCAUUAGCUAUCUUUGAUGCGACAACUGGUACAAUCAGACCAGCAUAUGAAUCGCCGGCGAUAUAGAGAGGAUUGUUUUUAAAAGAAUUGUGAUUAUCAAGCCACUGCAUACAAAAUGAAAACCAGUUGAGUUUGUCAGUCUUCAGUUAUCCCUUCAUUUGAAGUGUAAAACUAAAUGCAAACCAACUGACUGCAAGGAGCUACAAGAGGAAUAUCGCAUACCUUCCUAAGAAAUUCAAGGAUCUGUGAAGCCAUUUGGGUAUCACUUGAAUGGUACGCAUCACCUUCACGACAAUAGGAAAACCCAGCAUUGAUGGGGGCAUCAAUGAAGAUGAUAUUGCUUACCUGACAACAAUAACAGAAGAAUGCGCAAAAGUACAAAUGAAGUGAUGGACCAAGAGAAAAGCUGUAAACUUGCCAUACCUUAGUCCAGGAAUCUGCUCUAUACGCCAAAGUAGGCACAGUUGAAGAACGACUUUGCAUGUUGAAACUUAGGGGACCUACAAUUGUUAUAGUGGGGCAGUUUGUUUAUUUGCAAAUUUGCAAUCUAAUUGUUUCUCAUGUUGCUGCAAGACAUAGAAACAUUGAAGAGUGCCAAUCUAGCAUUUAGCAAGAUGGAGCGUCCAUGUUGUGAAGUCAAUGAGUUAUGCCCAUGAAAUUUACUUUUCUAAGCUUUCUACUAUCGAAUUGCAGAACUCUGAAAAGUCAUGACAAAUUUUUUUCCCCCAAGAAAGGAGACAAUCUCCCAACUGCAUUAGCGACACUGAGUGUUCGGCAUUACAGAAAGUAAAGCACAAAAUAAGCUCCACGGGAGGGCUAGGAUGAGUAUGAACCUCGUCUUUGGAGGUAGUGGCGGAAGGGCGUCUGCCGCUGCAUCCUGCCAUCCUUCUUCCUCCCGCCACGGAGCUUCACCACCGAGGCAAACUCCUCUUUCUUCUCCGGUUCAGGAGGCUCCGCAGCCUUCUUCGGUUCUUCCGCCCGCCACGGCGGGUCGCCAGCGCUACUUCCUCCUUCUCUCCUCGUCAUCCCUCUCAGGUUGAGGGGGGGCUCCCCUGCCAUCUUUCGCCAUCCGUUUCUUCCGGGGCCUCUGCAGCCGCCUUCUUUCGCCCACCCUAGAUCAGGAGGGGACGAGGGGCGCGCCGUUGAGGAAGGUACCGUUGCAGGCGCCUAGAUCAGAGACGACCCACCUGGCGGCGGGCGGUGGCAGGAAUUCGAUGGCGAGACGGCGAGGGUCGUUGCCUUUGGAGACGCGGCCGACGACUUGGGGGAGGCAUUGCCGGAUCUCUCCCUUGCGUGAGCCCCUCUCCACCGCCAGCGUGAGCACCAGCGCCGGAGCGGCCAUUGGAGGGUCCGGUGGGGAAUCGAAGGUCGGAGACGACGGAGAGACCCCGAGUGAGGAGAUUUCGAAAAAAUUUGGGAGAGAGCGAUUUUGGGCUUUCGGGAUCAUUUACGAGAAUGCCACUUCGAGACAAACAUGGCCACGGGGCUGGCCUCGGCCCGGCAUCCCAGUAAACGAGCCAUGCCUGGCCCAAGUCCCUGAAGCCCGACUAUAACCGGUCCGAGGCCACAGGAGUGUAUGAAACCCGCUCACACCAAAAGAUUCACGUGUUUCACGUUUCCUCUAAAAAAAAAAAUCACGUUUUUUUUUCUCUUCUUAGAAAAGAAGAAAGUUUCACAUUGUCCUACCAUCACGGUCGAUAACUGAAAUGCAUUUACGCGCCCCGUAGCUCCUUGUAACCAUUAUCGAUAAUGAAUAAAGAGGUAUUUUACGUGGUAAAAGAAACUCAACAUAUCAUGACACAUCUUUUUUUUUCCUUUUUUUUUGCAAAAAUGAAGACCCUAGCCCUUUCCGCCAUUUUUAUUGACCGCCCGGUGGCUGUGAGCACCCACCAUGAAUUGUCUGGAAUUUUGACUUUGCUAGCCGCUAUGGGCUAUGGAGGGAGAGGUGCCAAGGAAGGCAAGCUGGUGGGCGAGGGAGUUUUGGUGGUCCAAAUUAGGCGGCUUGCUAAUGACAUGUGGUGCUUCCGGUGAAACUCCUGCUUCCAUUUUGGUCGACGUCGGUGAGAACAACAUCCAGGAUGUUGUCUCUCUCAUUCGAGGCAUUGUCAUGUAGCUCUGGCUCACCCACCUCGUGUCUUUUGUGCUCUUGGGGUGAAACCCCCAAAUCCAGUUUCUCCAUAGCGGGCAAAGUAACGUUUACGUCGUUUUCUCCUUGGAGGUAUCGUAUUGAAGGCCUUGACCCCUGACAGGGUCAUCUUCCCAUGCAAAACGGUGGAAGCGGGGAUGACGGUCCCGGAAAGUGCAGUAGUGGCUUAACGGCCGGGCAGAGUCGCAACUUAGCAUGCCAUGGAUGGUGCUGGUGCGGCAAGGUGGUCGAUCUGGUAGUUAACACGACCUAAUAGGGUAAUUUCGUCAUGGGGGGUCGGGCAGGAGUUGGUGCAGAUAGGGUCGCGGACUUGAGAUAGCAUGACACUACAACUCAUGGACGAGUGAUGGAUGUCGGUACGGUAGCCUCGUUGGGUAGCUAGUGUCGGCUUCCCGUGCAGAGUGCAUGCAGCAGAGCAACGGUCGAUGGCUCCGAACAUGACCUAUAUCUACUCCUCCCUAGUAGACCUAGCCUUUCGCCCCGUGGUGGCGAUUGGCAAGGCCGUGACUUCUUCUGCUUGUUGCGUUUUUCUUGUUAUCGGCUUGUGCUCUCCGUUCCGGUACAUGAGGCUCUCACGCAUCCUUAGGUUGAAGAUUUUAACUAAUUUAACAUGAGCUUUGUAUUACAAAAAUUACACCAUUAAAACUUUAAAUAUUUGUUUCUAAUAAUAUAUUUUUGUGAUAUAAAAACAAUGUUACAUUAGUUAAAUCUUCAACCUAGAUAUACGUUGGGGCCUCAUGUACCGGAACGGAGGCAGCGGUACUACUACUAAUCACUAAUAUUGGUACUAAAAUCGAAAAAGAAAACUCCGAAAUUUUAUACCGGUAAAGAAAUAAAAACCUGGUUGAUGCAUACCUAUCUCGUAGAGCAGAGCUGAUAGGCCCGAGCAGCCUGGCCCUCCGGUGAGCCACAGCACAAGCGGGUCCUCCGCAGGGUCUCUCUCCGACUCGAUGAAGUAGUAAAACAUGGAACCAUCGUGUUGCUCAUCAACCUCCACGUAUCUGCAGGGACCGUUUUCGUCUCGAGUUUCAUUAGGAAAAGAGAAUUGAAAUCAUCCCGAAACAGUGGCUACGGAAAGUAAGAAAAGGAAAGGAUACCCCCAAGUCCCCAUCAUGUGAUGAAUGAAGUAGUACAGAAUAAAAACCUUCAAAAUUUGACUAAUUAUAAAAAAAAGAAAUAAGUGUCUGACUUCGUCCUUCAACUUAUUUCCAAUGCGAAUUUAGUCUCUCAACUCACAAUACCGGGCUAAUCUCGUCCUCUGACUGGUUUAGAGCGGUCCAAACCGGGUAUGACCAUGACGUGGCAGAUUUUGGGCUGUUUUACUUGCCACGUAGGUGGCUUAGACGGCAGAUUAGAGCAGGGCCCACGAACUAAUCUCUCUUCCUUUCUCAUUCUCUCUUCCUUUUCUAUCGCACGAGACUCUCUUCCUUUCUCGUUCUUUCUGAUCUCCUCUCCCUAACCCCCCAGUUCCCCGUCCUGCACGAGAUACACGAAAAAACAAGGAGAUGAGAAUCCCCACCUCACUCGACGAGACCUAACGUAACUGCGCCGCCUGGUCCCUGGCAGUGGUGGACCGCGGCAACGGCUGGUGCGGCCCGCGGAAGGACAGCGGCUGAACUGCAAUGUUGAAUAACAACCUGCUGCUACAUCAGAGAAAAUAUUGCCUGCUGAUAGCCAAAAAUGGCAUCUUCCAUCUCUGGCCAGUGAUCCUUCGGGUGACCUUAAUCCCAGGACUGGCCGCCGUCGCUACAGCCCCGCACCAGCUGCUAGGAGAUCAUGUGGGGAUUUUUUUUUGGUACGAGAGAUGGCAUAAAUGUAUCGACAGAGAGGAGAGAGAGACAGAGGGAAAGGGAUGGGCUGAUGGGGCCGCAGUAAUUUGUCACAUAACAUGCCUACGUGUCCACUAAAACAGCCCGUAACCUGACACGCUAUGGUCAAACCUGAUUUUGACCGUUCUAAACCAGUGAGAGAACGAGAUUAGCCCGGUAUGGUGAGUCGAGGGAUCAAGUUCGCACCGAAAAUAAGUUGAGGAACGAAAUCGGCACAGACGCAAUAAUUGAGUGACAGAAAAGACACUUAUCUCUUUUGAAAGGACAGAAUAAACGGAACCUGAAGUUUGGCUCAGUAUUUCUCCCUCGAUCGAUCUGUAACUUAGGUUCCAUGGAUCGAUGGUGUGCAGGGGAUGUAAUUCCUGAAUCAAGCAGUUAACAGGGGAUGUAAGUAGAGUACUUACCCGGUCUCCAAGUAGAAAGGCAGAGGCCCCUGGAACCCUGGAAGGUGAGUGACCACCUUGAAGGCCUCGGCGGCGGCGGCAGCGGCGGCGGUCUGAGAGAGUACCAGGCACAGCAGCAGCAGCAAGCUGCAGCAGCUGGUCAUGAUCUUCUUGGAGGAGGCAGAGGAGGAGGACGGAGACAUAUCAUGUGCUUGCAGAAACUUGCCGCAUGACAUUUCCAUCCUGCUUAUUAUUGUUUGCAGAAACUCUCACAUCACAUGGGUCAGGCUGCGAGGAUGGCGACAGCAGCAGCAUUUCCAACCUUAUUAGUACUGUUUGCAGAAGAGUCUGGGAUAUGUACUGAGCUACUACUCGUUGGAUCUCGCACGGGACGGGAGCAGGUGUCAAUUCAACCACUGCUCCUCGCCUAUCAGACACCUACUACCGAAAUUUCAUAAUGAUAAUUAAAAGUAGAAAUACCUCUGGCAUUGGAAAUGAAAUGUCCUCGUAAUACUUCAACCUUAUCGGCAUCGCUCUGCUUCUUGUUCACUUCAUCAUCAGUGCACGGAAUUUGCUUCAUUCCUUAUGGCAACAGUAGCAGCCUUCUUGCAUCCUGAAGAUGUGUUGCCCUUGUCGUCAAGGACAACGUCAAAUUAUUUAUUGUUUGCAGAAACUCACGCACGCUGACUGACCGGGAACAUGUUACAUUGAUAGUGGAGUGGAGUAUAGUUCAACCACGCCACCACUGGAUCCGAUCGAGUCCUCCGUCCCAUAAUGUACUGGGAGCUAACUACUACUACUCGUUGGAUCUCGCACGGGAGCAGGUACGUGUCACCGUGCCACGACGUGUCAAAAAACCACGACAUUCACGGGAUCUACGACUCCGGCCUCCUCGCCCAUCACACCGAACCAGCACGUCCACGUCCGCUGAGUGUGAGUUAUUUUUCAUUAGAAAGGUACACCAAGAAGACGACGAGAGGUCUUACAAACCAAAUAAUUGAGAAGGGGAACACUUCUCAUUUCUUAACAACAGGACAUACCUUGGCUGAUGAGGAAGAAAAAACAUACUGUACCGGGGAGCCAAAAACGCUGCCACACAAUUGAUACGCUUGGAUCGACAAUAAAUCUUAUCAAAAGUAAGGAACAAAUGGAAAAUAGCCAACCAACAUAUGCCUGUCCAUUUAAGCUGCACUCACAAUGUCAAUCUUAACCACAGUACUCCCUCCUAUUCAUAAUAACUUCUCAGAUUUAAUACAAAGUUACUGCAAAGCUGUACUAAAUCUGAUGCAUUUACUAUGGAUUGGAGGAGUAACAAACAAAUGGAAAACAAUCUGAUGCACACAUGACACGUGCACACAGAGAAAAAACAACUAAGGCAACUCCUUCUGGAGUUCUGGGUCAAUUUAUUUGAGCUUCCACAUACGUGUUCCCAUCUUCUUAAGGCAACCAGAAUGUUCAGUGGCUUCAGGCUUGGGCAUACCAGUACAAUGAAGACAUCCGCACUUGUCUUUAAUGAGAACAACAUCCCUAAUGAGAGUAAACAUGUAGCAGAAAAUACAUAUUUAAGGAAGCUUCUUGAAGAUAUGGAGAAAAUCCAUGCACUAAAGGAGAAAGAAUAAACUACUAAAACUCGUAAUAAUAUAUGAUAACAGCAAUAAUACAUCCUGCAUCGGAAAUGAAAUGGAAUGCCCUCACAAUACUUCAACUUGCUUCGAUAGCGUCACUCUGCCCCCUGCUGACCUCAUCAUCAUCAGUGUCACUCCCUUUGUAUAUUUGACUGAGAAUUAACCUUGGAUGGUUAGGAUGCUGACUUGCUUCCUUCCUUAUGGCAACUGCUGCAGCCUCGCAUUCAGAGGAUGUGGCACCUUUGUUGUAAAUGACAAUAUCUAAAUCUUUCAAACAUGGGAGAUGCUCAAUACCUAAGUACAAGCAAUAGGCUCUUGCCGUUGAUACAAAAAACGGAAGCUCAAGCUUCUCGAGCUUUGGCAACGCCCCUUCCUCAAACAGAAGGUUUGCCGUGGUUCCCUCAUAAAGUGCAUAAACAAACUCCUUCAGACAUCGGAACCCUACACCCUUCACAGGAAGCAUUUCUUUUUGGACAUUGUCAACAUGAAGUUCCAAAGAAAGUAAAGCAGGCAGCACUCCAAGAAUACGAAGAUCCUGCUCUGUUAAUACACUCAAAUUAAUGUCUAGGUAUGCAAGGCUGGCGAGUGGUGCGAUCCACUUUGGAAGUUUGGAUAGGGAGUAGGGUGUAGACAUCUUAUAACUUUGGAGGUAAGACGGCAGAGGUGACCAAGAAUCUAAUAACUCGAAUGGACACGAAUUACCACCAUCUAUACACAAGGACUGAAGUUUGAAGCUGCCAAGCUUGCAUAGGGAGGAAAGUAACAUAUCUCCAUGUCUCCUGUACUUGUGAGAUUCUUCACUGUCCGCUAUGUACCGUACAUGGAGUACGAUCAAAUUGAUCAGUUUCCCUAGCUCCUCCACUGCAUGUACUGAACUCGAGGUAAUAUUGAAGCCUGAGAUCCCUAGCAAGUUUGUCAUAUUCCCAAUCCCAAUUGGUAUCCUUGUUUCAUCUGUUCCAUACAUAUUUUUCAUGAGUAGAUGCUGUAGUUUAAUGAGCUGCACAAUUCCACCAGGCAACUCUUCAAUGAAAGUAUCCCGAAGAUCUAGUGUCUCAAGAUCAUGUAGCAUCACAAUUCCUGAUGGUACCUCAGAUAUCUCCGUGCCCCUAAAGCUCAAGUACUGCAGCUGGAAUAGUUUGUCGAUACUGCUCAUAUCAUACUUCUUCAGUCCCUUGCAACCUUCAAAAUCCAGUACACGUAAAGUUUCAAACUCAACAAGACUGGGCAAAUGUUUGAUGCAACUUGAUGAUGUUACUGUAAGUGAUCGAACAUGGCUUAGAUCUUUCUUGGCCAAUUCGGAUGCAAGAUGCUGGUCAAUGUGCUGGAUAGAUAGUCGUCGAAUAAAACAUUGGGAAUUUUCCCAAACAGUCUGGUUGCCGCUUACCACUGUGAUGAAAUUCUCUUCAAUAGACUUUGAAAUGAUAAGUUCAAGCAUCAUGUCGUGUACCCGACAAGCUUGGACCUUACCAUCGUAACCAAUGUCUAUUGGUUGGACCAUGCUUUUGUUAAUAAGCUCAUAAAAAUAAUUCUCUGCAACAUCUUGAUGACUCUGACCGCGUUCUUCAGAUAUAAAUCCUUCUGCUAUCCAUCGCCUAACUAACCUUUCUCUCUCAAUCACGUAAUCCUUGGGAAAAUUACUUAAAUACAGCAUGCACGUCUUGAGAUUUGGUGGAAGAUCAUUGUAGCUCAGUGAUAAUAUAUUUUUCAUUCCCUCUAGACUCUGUCUUUUGUUCAAGUCAGCACCGAUUGACCUUUUCACCUUCUCCCACUCUUCUUUGACACAUGGUUUGUUUGCCAGCAAUCCAGAUAUACUGAUAAUUGCCAAUGGUAAGCCUCCACACUUUUUCAGAAUUGCAUAUGAAACUUCAUUCAGCAUAUCAGGGCAGGAAUCCAGUGAGCCAAAAAUUCUUUUGAAAAAGAGUUUUUCAGAGUGAAGAUUACUUAGAGGUUUCAUUUCAUAGAUCUGAUCAUCACGACCUGGACAACAAGAACUUGCUACUUCCAAAAUGCGUGUGGUGGCUAUAAUUCUGCUGGAACAAUUAUUUUCUGGAAAAGCACACUUGAUAGCAUUCCAUGCCAAUACAGACCAUAUAUCAUCAAUGAUGACAAGAUACCGAAUACAUGUAAGUAAAUAGCAUCAGUCAGUUAUGAUAUACAUAUGUAACUAAAAAACUAAACAAACGUAAAAUUCCAACAAUUAUAUUUCUUAGGUUUGUGAGUUGGGAGCGUCUGGGGGAUAGGUGUGUCUACCUCCAGUUCGAUUUCCUGUGUGAUGUUCUAGCUUUCUUUUUUUCUAUGUUUCAAUGUGCGGCAUGCGGCGUAACGCCUGCACCGAGUCACAGCAUCUCCAGAACUUCAAUUUUUAUAUAAAUAAUUAAAGAGGGGUAUAGAUCAAAGCACGCAUCUGUCAAAGGCAACAUCUGGUAUAGCGCCUGCUAACGGUUGGACUGAGUUCGCAGCGCCUUCAGCACAGAAAGCUGAUCAGCUAGAAAAAUGACAUUAUUUACCUUUCACUCUUUCAUCAUUUUCAUUUAGAAACAUUACUUUUAUUUGUUAUAUGAGAGACAAAUUUGUGCAAUUUGGAAAGAAAAGAAAACUGGUGAAGCAAUUUUCUGUAAUAAACAUCAACAUUCUUUUAAUUUUCAUGUCAAUAGAUUAUUACUGCAGAGAACCGAACUAACAUUUUUACACUCUUUCUGCGGUUAUGGAGGUGAUAGGGUGCCCCAAUGGACGAGAUAGCAGAUUUAUCCCUAGCCUCUGUUAGUUCAGGGAGGGGGACACACUCAUAUGUCUGCCUGUGUCCUUCUACAUUGUACUUUGAAUUAAAAACACAUGAAAUGGUUAUAGAUAUUUUCUUGUGCUAAGCAUUUUAGCUAAAAUAUGGAAGAGAAGUUGCAAAAUGUAAUUUAUAACUACCAGGGUUUACCAUGUUUGUAGCUUGUUCCACUUGCGUGAAAACUUCCUAGUACGUGCAGUAAGGUGUCAGAAAUGAUGAUAAGCCCGUGUGAUAACAAGCACAGCUAGUGGUGCAAUGUUGUUUCUUAUGUGAAAAAUUGCAUGCUAAAUAUUUUUACCUCAAAUAAUGACAAUAAUGCAAGCAUACUUUGCAAAAAAAAAAAUACCUCUUGUCUUGUAGUAGUUCUCUUAGCUUUGCAAUGGAUUUCUUUUCAUCCCAAAAUUCUAUACCUUUUAUGAAUUCAUCCUUACAAGACACUUGCGAGAUCACAUCCUUGAUAAUUUUCCUUGUAUCUGGCUUUUGCGAGACCGAGACAAAAGCAUGAUAAUGAAAGUGCCCUUGAAUCUUGCGAUAGACUUCAUUCGCCAGUGUUGUCUUCCCCGAUCCACCAAACCCAACAAUAGACAACACCCUGCAAUGAUGCUUGUUUUUUUCUUCCAUCAUCCACUUGGCAAGAUCAUCUCUGGGACCAUCAAUGCCCACAAGGUGUGUCUCCUCAGCAAAAAGAGCAGACAGCCGGGGAUCCAAGGCUGCUUGGCCAGAGGUUCCACAAGCAAUGUCAUCCAGUCUGUAACUAUUCUUGAGCUCUUUCACUUCCUUGAUACGAACCUUCAGGUCGUCGAUUUGGUUGGCAAUUCCACGACGAGCUCCAAGCGUCUUUAGACGGCGAGCCGUCUUGCGGAAGAACUCUUUGAAGCCGGAACCUUGCCCGUCCUUGCCUAGGUGGUGAAUGAACUUGUCGAAGCAGUCCUCCGUAUCAUAAGCUAGCUCCCUCACCAGUGAUAUCCAUUCCUUUACCUGGUCAUCAGGAUCCUCAAGCUUAGCAUACUUCUUGAGCGCACCAUGCAUGUGAGUAAGCUCAGACCGGAGGGAGCGGAUCUCGCGGCGGACCCCUUUCAGACGGCCGCACUCAUUCACAAGCAAGGCGGUGAGCUUCCCCAGGAGGGGACCCAACGCGCCAUGAGAAGCGCUCACCACCUCCAUCUGCGUCUAUAGCUAUUCCUUGCCUGUGCACUCCAUCUCCGUUUGGGUUCCUACUUGGAAAGGAGAGAACUCAGACGAGUGCGGAAUGGAGAGGCUGUGUGCAUACUGGUUGCAAGUUCUCAUUGACUCACCUAAGCAUGUGUAUGAAGCAACUGGGGAAGCGUGUAAGCAAAUUAAGAACAAGAUAACUCAGACUUGGAGUUCAGAGUUUCAGACAGGAAGAAUCUUACUAGUAGUAUACCCUCAAUUUGUGCAUUUUAAUUAGUUAUUGCGCCCUUAAUUUGUGCAAACCUCAUCAAAUACUCCCUCCGUCCCAUAUUAACUGACGAAAUAUUACAUGUAUCAUUCAUUUUUGGGUAAAUUUGAAUCACUUGAUAUGGGACGGAGGGAGUAUAUCACUUAAACUAACGCUCAGUUUGUCAACGGUGACAGAUGCACACUAACAUAUAACAAUCGUAAGUCUUCGAUUUAAACAUCAUGACACGCCAGCAUAAAGCAGGAAAGAAAUUGUAGCACGCCAGAGACAGAUCUAUGCAAGACAAGUCAACGGGUGUUAGGACGCGGUUGGUCGUCACCUGGCGGUCGAUCUAUCGGUGAAGCCGGCGGGGUGCUUGCUGGCAAGGAUGCCCGUGACGGAGAAGCCGACGAGGAAGCGCCAGUUGCGGCCCCAACCCACUCCCGGCAGAAGAACAGCGGCCAUGGGUUGAAGGGCUUCAUCUCAUUCUCCGGUGAUUCUCUGGAUCUCCGACGGCGGGGACUGGUGUCUAAUGCACCCGGCGACGGGGGGAUGGUGGGCUGGGUAUAUGGGGGUCUGGGGGAUGCUGUCUUUCAGGUUGUCCCCUGGCGAGCGAUCGGUCGGUGGAUCAAGCAUCGGUUGAGCUCCUCCUCCCUGAAGCCGGCGGUGAGGUUGGUGACGGCGGAUCCGGCAAGGAAGGGUUCCCAGACUCCCGACGGAUGAUCAAUGGCCACGGGUCGAAGGACUUCAUCUCCGAUCAAUCUGUCCGGUGUUGGUUGUUGGUCCGUAUCGGCGGGGGGCGAGUCGGCGACGACGGUGAAGGGGGAGAGUCGUAAUGGACUAAUGGGCCGGUGGGCUUCUCAUGGGCUAGAUAGAUUUUCUUUAGAAUAUGGGCUAGAUAGAUAGGUUGCGUGCGUGGCUGCAUCUGCAUUGGGCCCAGGUUCUUUUUUUGUUUUUUGAAACACCUUUGGGCCCAGCUUCUUUCUUUCUCCGGACAAAUCCUCUGGGGUUUUAAAAAAAGAAGACAAAUCCUCUGGGAAAAAACCCUGUCUGAAAUGGUAGCAUCAGGGCCCUUAGCUUAGCCAGUGUUUGUGAGAAAUGGCCAGCCUCAAAAGAUUUACAGGAUUCAUGUCCACAACAAUUUUUACUUCCGGUUGCCGCGAACGAAUAAUCAUCGAGUCCUUCCUGGGUGCUCAAAAAAAAUAAAAAAAUCAAGUCUUCCCUCCUUUUUCCAGACAAGACAUACAAAGAGACCUGCGGGCUGUCUAGCUUUUUAGUGAAUAUUUGAAAGACGAGU